rnacentral:lncRNA from 1 species
AAACAUGUCCCCUGAGCUGGUGAACACCAAUUGUUUGCCUUGACUACCUGACACGGUCCCUGCGGUCGUUUUUGUGUCGAAGUAAGGGAAGUUGGCAUUAUCUGUUGUCAAGUUGACGGUGUUGAGCACGAGGUUUCCAUCACCUUGCAAGCGCAGCUGGAACCGCCCUUUUGUGUAGUUAGUCUCCGAUUGUCUACACGAAAGCGUCCCAUUUCUCUCAAUUGUCUGUCCAGGCAAAAUGGUGUCUGUAGGAUUGCUGAAGGUCUCCCACAAGCUCCGAGAGUUUUGGUGUUGAAGGACAAAGUUUCCGGUGUCAUUCAUGACCCCGUUCGCAACAGUCCCCAAGGUUAUUUCGGAUUUCCAUGUCUCUCCACCCUGAGGAUUGUUAAGAACUAGUCCACUGUUGGCAGUCAAGUUCAGAACUGAUCCCCUAGGUGCAACCAUGGGGUUGUUACCGUCAUAUGCAUACCAAACUACGGUUUUGUCUGGGAUUUUCGCAUACCAUAUCGAAAGCAAGAAACGAUCAUUGUUUCCGAGGGGCGAAAAUCCAAACGCGAAAUCACCGGAUGGAGAAAGCCAUGAUGAGGAGUCGCCUGUAGUUGCAGUUAGAGAACUCCCAACUGCUACUGUUCCAUUAUUUUGGGAAAUCACAGAAAUUGGUAGCAAAAACAAAGAGGAGAACAAAAGCAUCUCUACAGAAAGAGCCACUGCCAUUGCAAAAGCACCAAUUUUUCAACUUGGCUUGAUUGAUUAGCUAUAUUUCUUAGUAAAGCAUUGGUCCUGGUUAUAUCUUUAAGUAAAUGUGUGUGCACCACGUGCCUGUCAUUUUCUAAGUUUUUGCCUGGAAUUAAAGGCGUCUACACCAUUUUUUGAAGUCACACACAACAAUAUCUCCGGGCCUACAGAAUAAAUUCUCCGAAACUACACAUAUCACAAGAAUUUCACUUUCAAAAAAAAUAAUAUAAUGAAUAGUUCUAUAUAUAAUAACACCGAGAUUUUUUGUGAUAGAACUUAUUGUCUCUUUCAACUCUUUGUAAUGUUGCAAGUUGUAACAAUAUUGAUGUAAUUAGUAAUGAUCCGUGACUUGUCUCUCUCAAAUCUCUUUUCAUCCUACUCUCAUCCCUCGUCUGUUUUAUGAUUCUACUGACUUAAGCACUUAUAAAUGUUCCAAAUCAGCAAAGGACUUGUAACUUAAAUAAUUAAUAAUAUUUAUCAUUACACUCGAGAUUCAUGACUCACGCUGCAUGUGUCGGCCAUUCAAGUCCACCAGUCAAAAUUCAACAAUGGGGACCACAAAGAAAAUUUGAAAAAGUACAUGCAGAUUGAGGACGGAUACAUAGAAAAUCUGAAAACAGACCUUCAGAACCAAACAAAGACGACUAACUAAGCCUUUAAGUCAAGUGAUAAGAGACUUUUUUUUUUUUUUUUUUUGAAGAAUAUAAGAGACUUAUAUCUUCACAAAAACAAAGACGACUAAGUCUCUAUUUCUGUAUUCACAAAAAAAAAGUACUAACCGAAGUUUUUAAUGUAUGAUUACGUCGUUGGGGUAAGACACCCGAGGCCGAGUUGAGAUAAUCACAGAAUCGAGAUCCUCUUCGAAUGUCACAGUCUGGCGCAAACGGACUUAGAGACCCGAACCACUCAUUUUAAAUCAUACGACCUUCAUUAGCUUAUCCUAUUGACCCACAUCACAUAAGGGGUCCGAAUCUCUCUCUCCCCUCUCUUGACCGGUUUGGAUAUCUCGGUCUAUCGAUUUUGGAUUGCGAGAUUCAGAGAGAAUCUGAUUUCGGGUUUGAGGUCUGGUUCGAUGACCAUUUGAAGCCCGUUGAGGCGUGGCCCAUCUCAUCAGGUCGGGUCAGCCAUUUCGUACCAAGUUGAAUCCCAGGUCAGGCCAGCCAUUUCAUUAGCCUAAGAUGGACCUGACGGACGAUGCGCUUGGAUAUUGCUUACUGCGACCAAAUGGACUCAUGGGCUCAUUAGAUGAUGAGUCUGGACCUGGUGUGUGUAAAGGCCACCUCAGCUCGAUCCAUAUUCGAUCGAUACUACAGAGAAGGUGGAUAUGAGGUAAAGGUAGAGUAAGCUCCAAGUCAUGUGGAGGUCAGUCGAGAUUGAACACACGUUCAUAGAAUCAUAGUAUCAAAUUCAAGUCAAAAUUUUAACACUACGAAACCGAAAAGCAUGCAACUCCGAAAAGCAUUGUUUCAGUCCAACAACCCAAACUUCCUUAAAAAACUAAGACCAAAACGACGACAUUAGGAAACGGAAAAUCAUGCAACUCAGAAAACCAUUGCUCUAGUCCAAAUGAGGUUCUUCAAUGCCUCAAGCUUUUCUAAACACCAUAGCCUGAACCUUUUCCUUUGCGCCUUCUUUACUUCACCAGAAACGUUCUUAAUGAGCUCUUCUUCAAAUUUGGGACGAGCAGGCAUUAGGCUGUGCACAAUGCUGUAAAUGCUCCUAGCCCUUGCCACACCCUAGGCGCAUACGCGUGCAUGUCCGACCUGAGUUAUCUCAUUACGCGCGCAGUUUGAUCUUCCCGUAUUGACAUCCCUGCUGUCUAUUCUCCUGCGAAUCCUUCUACUGGUGACUUCAUCCGGGUCCAUUUUCUUGCUCCUCAGUGCAUGUUCAUCUGCUUUUCCAUGUUAAUAGAUAUAGGAAUCCUAUGAGAAACAACAUUUGACAAAACAGAACCUAAUAAUAACAACAAAACUUGACUUCAUCCUCAGUGCAUGUUCAUCUGCUUUUCCAUUUCAAAGCAGCUGACGGCAUGAUUCGUACUUGGACUCCAAGAUGUCUAGAUUAUAGGGAAACCAGCCCUCUAUCCAAAACACACAAAGAAGUGUAUUUUCCGUUUAUACCAAUUAAGUGUGUUGAAGCAUGUCCCACAUGGCCACAUCGGAAACUUGUCGAAGCUUAAAUCCUCUUAUAUAGAAAGUUGAACUACUAAUGCCAUGAGGCCUUAAUUUUGUAUAAAACCAUACUUAUUGAAUUGCACACGUGCUUAAGUUAAGGUCAGUAUUGAUGGCAAUUAGUAGUGGGCCGCUGGGCCGUCUUAAAAAAACUGGUACAAAGGGCAAUUUAUAGAAGCAGUGUUGAGAUAAGGGCAAUUCACCUGUUCCUUUUAGAAGGAUAUAUACGAAUGAAGCAAGGUUUAUCUACUCACCCGUAAUGCGGCUCAGCCCUUCAUAAAAAAGUGAAAGAUCAAAAUUACUUUUACAGCAAGAGCAAUACCAGAAGAUGUAAUCUAAAUUAUUUAUAUUUGGUUCCCUUGAAAUCCUUUUGACUGCUUCAACAUACUAUAUGCAAACAGAACCAGAACCAAGUCCAGACUCACUCGUAAGAGGAAGUCCACCGGGGGUGGGAUAGGUCGGCACCCAAUGGAAAAAACAGGCUGAGACUCAGCCAAUCCACUCCAGCCCGUGGAAUCGACUGGCACCCAGCCCAAGCCAGUCCACAGGCCGACCUAAAAUUGACAGACCUUGGGACCGGCUCAAAUGACAACUAGCUGACGCCAGCGUGGUGUCGAGGGCAAGGAGCCACGGAGGCAAGGCAAAGACCAACUUCCCCACCCCCACUAAGCUCCAUCUCGACGCCGUCAACAUCGCCAACAUGAACAAUGCCGCCAAAUUAGCUGCGACGACGAACAUCAGCAACAGCCACAGCAGCACCGUGGAGUCCUCCUCCUUGCCGUCUCCGCGCCCGCUCGACCUCACUCUCAAAACCCCCCUCUUGUCCACCGACAGCGGCUACUUCACUGCUGCGAGCGGCUUCCGCCUGCUUCCCGCUUCCCGGGAAUUAUCCUUCCGCGAAAGAUCCCCCCGCGAAACUUGUAGGUUCGACCACCCCCCCUCCCCCACGAAACAUCCCCAUAUUUUCCUUCCGGACCAAGUUUGUUCCUCUUUUAUGUAAGAAACAAAAUCCCUGCCCAGCUUUAUAAUAAUUAAUUUAUAAUAAAAAAUAAAUAUUUUUAUUAUUUUAUAAUAAAAAUAAUAUUUUAAUAAAAUUGACUAGGCUAUUUUUUGUUAGGGAUAGAGAUGCAUUGGCCUAUUACUAUUCAUUAGAGUCUAUCGGGAAUGGAUAAAUGGGUUGGGUGCUGGCAUAAAGUCCUUAGAGGUGGACUUGCUCUAAUAGGUCUCCUCAUCCACAACAAUAUCCCAGCUUUCCCUUGUCGUGGUUUUCCCAUAUUUGUGCACCUUACUGCAAAGAGAGAGCAAGUUAACUUGUCAAAGAAAAACCAGAACAAUAGAUGCCAAUGCAGUUCAGAAAGCUUAUUUCCCUUCAUACCCAUUUCCAAAGUGCUCCUCCCCACGUCCUUGACCAACCUAGACAUGAGACAACAAAAACAAAGUUACAUCAGAUUAAAUUAUUGAAAGAAAAAGGUUCACUUCUGUUGUAACAAAUUGACAUUAGAAUCAAGCAACCACGCUAUGAAAUACAAAGUUAAAAUGUAACAAUUUACUGUGUCUUAAAGGAAUCUGUGAAAUAAAAUAGUUAAACCCUAAACAACACCACUGCAAAUUAGGGGUGGGCGCGGUUCAGUUUUGAUUGAAACCAAAACCAAAACCGCAAGUUUUUGCGGUUUGGUUCGGUGCGGUUUUGAAGCCAAAACCAAAAUGAAACCAAACCGUUUGGUUCGGUUCGGUGCAAUUUCAAACGGUUUCAGUUUGGUUUUUAAGAAAAAAUGUACGAUUUGCAAUUUAACAUAUUAAAAAGCAUUUCCCAAUAGUAAUAGGAAAAUGACAUUUGUUAUGUAAACAAUUAGCAUGUUGCAUGUAGUUGUGAUGUUAAAACAUGUUUGUGCAACAAAAAGGUGUCCCUUACAAUAUUUUUCAUAAAACAAGUUGAAUAAAUUUGAAUUCAUUAAACGUGAGCGAAAUUUUCAUACUAGAAUAUGUGAUAUCAUGCUUCAAAUGAGUGGCCUUUAGUAGAUCAUUGUUCGACUCUUGAUAACAAGAUUAGUCCACCCUUGUACAUAUAUGUGUGUGUGAUGGUAUAAAAUAACAAAGGUCAUUCAAGUUAAUGAACAAAAGAGAGUGAUGAAUGAUGAUAUUCUAGUGUGGUUGAGUCCAUACUAAGUGUAUGGAUUUUAACAAACGACCAAUUAAAACAUGAAAUCUAAUAUGGACAUUUAAUUAAAUGUUUAUUAAUAUUUGCGGUGCGGUUUUCAAAAGCCAAAACCGAAACCAAACCGUUUUCUAUGUUGCGGUUCGGUUACAAAACCGAAACCGUUUCAAAACCGCAAAACCAAACCGUUCGGUGCGGUUCGAUUUGGUUCGUGUUUCGAUUUCGGUUUUCGGUUCUAAGUGCCCACCCCUACUGCAAAUAGCAUAAGAAAAUUAAAAUUAACCCUAAAGAAAUUGGGAGAGAAGAAUAUGAAAAGGGAAUACCUUUCGGCCCUUUGAGUUAUUGGAAAAAACCCAACAGAGCAAAAGAUAAGCAAAAAUACAGGAGGAAAGAAAAUAAAUUUUCAACUUGUAAGAUUCAUACGCGAACAUAUUGGCGGUCAAAAGCAUUUCGGAACUCAGAGCCAUCAAGCUUUUUGAUCUGCAUGGAAAUUAUUUAUGAAGUUUGAGAUUCUUAUAGACGCUUUAGACACAUCGACAUAUUGAAAAAGCAAUAUUCAACAACCUAGUACCCAUGCUCCAUGAAAGGUUACAGAAAAUAUGAAUGACUGGACUCUGGAGUGAGAAAGUAAAAGGACUUACCGCAUACUUCAUAUCUUCUAAGUUUGUGUAGUCUACAAUCCCUGUUGUGCCUACAAAAAAGGCAUAGGACAAAAGCUAAAUCAAUCGAAAUUCUGAUGUCUCAUGAUCUAGGUCGUAGGAUUAAACUACUGAAAUAACACUAUAUGAAAUAGCAGUGUAUAUCCCAAAAAAAGUCUGAAAUCUGGUUGAUAAUUGAAGAGUUCGAAGGGAUUUACCUUUGGAUUCUUUGGCUUUCAGAUGGAGUUUGCUUAUGUGUGGGGGAGAGAGGUGGAGCGGCUAGAGCUUGAGUAUGGAAGAGAUGAAAAAUGCAGAGAGCACCUGUUUUGGCUGAAGCAACUCACACACUCUGGACAAAUCUGCAAAUGUCUAAAAGGGGGAAAAUAUAAAAAGAAACCUUAACAACUGAAUUCAAAGAAACAUUAUUACAUUGUAAAUAACAUUUCACAAAAAAAAAAAAAAACUAAACUAAACUAAUUACACUCGGAUUGCAAUGCUAUCAUUUAAUAAUAGGAAUUCCCAUAACUUAGCAGAAGACCUGCAUCUGCAAAGGAUUCUUUAAAACCUAUUUUUUUUAACAACCCCGCACCUGCAACACAUCCAGGCAAGGUAAACCAAUAGCACCCUCAUGCUGAGCUCUUCUGUGCAUAUAUACCCCUUAUAAGUAAUCUUAAUCAAUCAGUUAUCAUGAAUAUAGUCAGUUAUCAUGAAUAUACAACUUAUAUUAAUUUUCUACAAUAUCCAACACACAAAUAUAACAGAAGAGGAAACUUUUACUUAAGCAGCACAAAAUGAUAUCCUCUGCAUUUCAUUCCAAAAUCCAUCACUCUUAUGUCUUUGCCUGCACAGUUUUUGCUCCAACAUAGCACACCAUGAUGAUAGCACUAUCAAUAAUUAAGACAUAAAGAAAGGCUAUCCUAGCUAGGUAUUAUCAUUGGAGUAAACCAACAACACCAUAAGUAAAGUAGCAGACCAAAUUUUUUCUAGAAUUGAUGUCUUAACAUGUUUAAGUAGCGAAAAGAUUACAACACAUUGGAUGUGUUAACACAUCCAUAAGCUAAUGACUCCCUCUCCAGUUUACCGCAUCAUUCUUAAUGUAUUCAACAAUGCAGCAGUAAUUAAAAGUCCUUGGAAAAUGCCAAGCUACUACAAUGACAUAACGAAAACUAUAUCUCACCAUACCCCCUUGUUGGCAUAGACAGCAUAUCCGUCCUUGUUCAGGGUGAAUCAUUAUCCUGAACUCAAUUAUCAUCAUCGUCGAGAAUGUCAAACUUUAAAUCAACCAUGCAUGGAACAAAACCUAGAAAUUAAACAAUUAUCAAAGCUUAUGAAGAAUGCUAAACCCAACUAAUUCGAAACAUAAAGUAACCCAAAAGAGAGAAAACUUAUAAAUUUUACAUAAAUUAUAAUCCUUAACAGAAGGAUGGAACAAAGCAUGUUCAUUCUUGAGAAUAGGUGUAAUUUUGCACAUUGCAUAUAUGUACAUUAAGGACGGUGGUAACAUACCUUGUAAUUUGUACAAAUUAGGAUUUUCAUUCAAAGAACCAUAAUAUACACAAUUACAAAAACAGUGAUACAAACUUGUUCUUCUCUUAAGGAAAUUACUCACAGUUGAAAUUCUGAAUGGACAAAGUUUUGGCAUCCCUUUCCGACUAUAUUUGAUUAACCUUUUUUUAAUCCAAUGAGUGCCUUCAUGAGAGAGAGAGAGAGAGAGAGAGAGAGAGAGAGAGAGAGAGAGGAAUAUUCGGUGAAAAGUAUUGCCAAAUCACACAGAGAUCAAAAUCUUGAAUAUAUAUGUUUAACCAUAUCAAAGUGAGUGUGUGAAAGGGUGUAGUCUGCAGAAAGGGCAACAUUUUCACUGCUAGAAAGUUGGAAACUAAACUUUUACACAGAUAUUGGAUUUUAUUAAUUCCCUCCGCGAAUUGAAAAGCAAAUUGUUCGAGUAAUGCAGGUAAAUUCGAUAUACAUAUGCGUUGAUCUAUGUAAGACGGUUAUAAGUUAUAACUGUAUCGUCUUAACACAAAAAAUGAUCAUAAAUGUAAGUGUCUGUAUUAUGGAAGUAAGGGACUUGCAGCAAUUGCUAUGAGCUCUAACAGCAGUCACUCCAAGUACCCUAUUAUGGAAGUAAGGGACUUAGUAAGGGACUUACAUCAAUUGCUAUGAGCUCUACCAGCAGUCUCUCAAAGUGGUGCAAGGGCUAAAAUUAUAAAUAAAAAGUAAUUUAAACAAUUUAACUUAAUAAAAUAUUGUAAUUUAAACAAUGCCUAUAUAUUCAAACAUCCCAAAACAGGAAUGAACUUCCAGAAAACAUGCGCAUGAAAAUAAACGGCAUUACUCACCCAUUGAGUUGGACCAUCAAACUAGAGCGUAAGAAGGAUCAUCAUGUACCUAUGAAACCCAAAGGAAAAUUUUAGCAACCCCAAAGCUUGUAUGCAAGCGUGAAUAAGUAUGCAUGUAUGAAUCUAUUCAUAGUGAAGAAGGCUACCUUAAGAAAUAUUUGCAUCUGCAGCUUCAUAUGGCCAUACAACAAAAAGCACCGCAUAUGAUAACAAACCCCAGCUGCACCACAAAAGGAAUAUGAUCUUCCUCUCAACUUGUAUUUGUAGUUGUUACUGUAACAUCUGCAGACAGCAUACAUAAGCACUGAUUCGAUAAUUCUAAAGGGAAAAAAGUCCUUAUUCGAUAAUGCACCAAAUCCUAUCCAAAAACCAAGUGGGUGCCAUAUCCCUAGAUUAACAGAGCAUCUUUCUUUGUUCCAAAACAAAUUGCAAUUGGCUUUGGUAAAGUAGAAAGAUUACCAGAUACCGACUCUGUUCCAUUAUUCGACUGUCCUUUUAGUUCUGUCUCUCAACAUGGGAAAUACAAUAAGACAGUAAAAACAAAAGUUAGUGAUGCUAUUACAUAGUGAAAGAAAAUAAGACAUUCACAUAUUGAUAGCUAUUUACUGUCCUUUCUCAUCAUAAUCUUGGCCCCUAUAUAUACAUAUAUUGAAUUUUGAAAGCAAUGAGAGAAAUAUACCUUUGGGGCGUCACCGCCAGAAGGGUGAGUGAGGGAUCUAAGAUGUUUAAGAGCAGGAAUUUUUAAGUAAUUUGUGUGAAAAAGUUGAAGAGCUUCGAACAUAGUGGAGUGGGUUGGCCUGGGCUAAAAUAAAGAGGAUGAACUCUAGAAAGUAGAAAAUGUUGUUGUUCAACCAAACUCAAAAGUAAAGAAACCAUAUGAUUAACAUAUAAAUAAGUUUUAUAUACCAAUGUUUACAUGUACGUUGUUUGAGAAGGUAAAUUAGCAACAUAUACAGUGAUCAAAAGAUUAACAGCAAUAAACUGCUCAUUAUUCGAAAUAUACAAGAAAGUUGUCAUUCACAUGAUCCAAAUGGCAGAGGACAAAACAGAAGGAAGCAAAUAUUAUAGCAGCAUAAGUUGAAUAAUUGCAGCAAGUAAACAAAUAGAAAGGCUAGCUAGAUUACACAAUCCAGUUCUAGGUCGGACUAACCAUGUUAGCCAUCCGCCCACCACCAGCACCGUCGGCUUCUUAUUAAAAAUGUAGAAUAGAAGACUAAAAAAUUGGAAAUGAAAGCAGGUAACAUUGAGUUUUAAUAACCAAAAAGGGACACUGUUUAAGCAGCUCCACAACAGCAAUAAUACUUGGAUGAUGACCUGCAAAAACAGAAAAGAAAACACAAAUUAAACUAAAAAAAUAUAAAAUUUAACACUAAUCCAAGGAUUAAAUAUCAAAUAUAAAUUCAUUAGGAUUGGGACCUUUGCAUUGAGGAAUAUCUACUACAUUAUGAGUUCCCUCUUGAUAAAGCCCAAUCAGGGGGUUUUUCGAUGAGCCAAGAACGGCUAACUUUGCGUGACACCGCCAUCCCCACUAACACCAAACCCAGAUAAUAUCAAGAUCAAAACUAACCAAUACCAGAAAGAUUUUUUUAUUUAAAUUUUAAGAAAAGACCUAAACUUUACGAAAUUAAGGGGGAAAACAAAGUUAAGUAAAGCACCAAUUUGCAACUGUCAAAAGUGAAAUAUGAGACUCCAACUGUCUAGAAGAACUCCGUGGCCUCAUCGACGAUGACCGGAUGGUGGAGAUUGAACUGGUGCGUACACCCGAAACACCUGAUUAUACACCGAACAGAGAACAAAAUUUAAAUCAAGUCGAACAAUAAUUAUGAGAAAAUAAACUAAAAGGGAUUUGAGCUGAGAGUUACGAUUCGAAGUGCGGGCAAUGGAGGGUGCAGGUUAGCGGCGGCAGAGAAGGGGUUGAGCUUGGGUUCAGGUCCGUUUUAGGAGGUGGAGGCUCUUGAUAGAAGAUUGGCAUUGGAGUCGUUUUACAAAUCAGUUUCUUCCUGAACAUCCUAAUGUCAGCUUCUAGAGUUUCCUGUAAAAGAACAGACAACAUUCAUAAUAAGAAAAUCUCUCUAUGCAAUCGCAGAAAUCCCUCGGGUUUCAGGAAGCAAAUGGAAAAUGAAAUGCUUUUCUCCCGUAUCUCUCUCUCUCACCUCUGUCCCAUCUCUCUGUCUCCAAAUCGCAGAAAAGAAACCCUAAACAAAUCCCUGAAAUCCCUCGCCUAAAUCCUCCUACAUUUCUCUCGGACAACCCCCUCUUUCUCUUUGCAAACCCUAAACCAAAUCUCCUAAAUCCUAUCUCAGGCACCACACAUACAGCCAAGAAGCCAAGAUAUUAAAGCAAUCUCUAUAUAAUACUUUGGAACAAUGAAGAAAAAUGGUACUUACUUGUUCCUUGUCCAAAACAGUUGGUGCCGCCGCACAUUGUUAUCAAUUGUGGGUUGAUCAAAUCCUUCAUGGCUUAGACUGCAUGAAGAAUUAGAAACUAAAAGAUGAAUAUAUGCCGUAAAUCAUCAUAUAAAUGUAACUGCAUUUAAAAAAAGAAGGGAAUGACAAAAUUGAAUUCUAUUUCAUCAGUAUGUAACUGCAUGAAAAGUUACUUUGAAUGAAGACUCGAUCAAUUUCCCCAAAGUCAUUGUUAACUGAAAAUCAAUAUCAAACCCAUAAAUACCACAUUGAAUUUGACCAAGUUAAAGGAUAAAGGCAGUCGCAUCAUCGUAUUACUCUUUGGGAAGAUCUUCUAAUAAUGGUUCUUCCUUUUUCUUGCUCUUCCUCAGAACUGCCAUAAAAACCCCAGAGAAGCAUACAAAUUCAGAAAAGAAAAGGUUCAAAACUGCCAUAAAAAAAAUCCAGAAAGCAUACAAAUUUAUCAGAAAGAAAAGUUCAAAUUACAAAUACCAAAUGAUGUGAGUGAGUAGUGAGAGGUUGUGUUAGGCACCUGAAACACAUUUUGGUUUCAAUUGAAAGGGCCAGAGACAACAUCCACAUUCUUUUUUCUUGGGUGAACUAACCAAAUCAUAUUAUAUACUAAAAUGACAUAAAAAAUCAUUCACAAACUCACAACAAAAUAGAACAAAAAGAUUCACAAAAGAUUUGGGAGUUGAGACGCUAACAAAAACAUUUCUUUUCUAAACAAAUACACAACCGCUAAUCUGGGUUUGGUCAAUUUAACUAAAACGGUGCGCUAUUUUGCAUCUAAAUAUAGUAUAUCGCUUAAAUAAAAUUAAUAAAAAAUACACAUCCAAAGCUUUUAGUCCAAAGCUAGAAUUAGGAAUAACUGAGGAAGUUAAUGAAGGCAAAGCAGAGGGUAGGAUGCAGAACAUACCAAGAGACCAGUAGGCCAUCGGGGCCGGUCUGCCGAUGAACGCUGUGUACUGGUCGACAACGCCCAACGGAGUCGGCGCAGAAAAAAAGUAAAAGUCGAAACCACCCCCAAUGACUUUGUAGGUGAGAGAAGUCCCUAUGUAGAACACAUUCAUGCCAUUGCUGUUGAGCAGCAGAACGCAGUGCGCGUAAGCCUCGUUGCCCACAUUCCGGAGAUCCAUGUAAACUGGGUGGGACCCGUACAAAUCAGUGUUGAGAUUGAUCGCCGAGAAGUCAGUGGUGAAGAUGAUGUAUGGAUCGUUCGGGUAGAGCUUGAUCCCGUGCGGCUGAGAGUUCUCUUCGAGGCCGUACAAGGAGGAGUCUUUCGGCACUCGGGUGGAUAUCUUGAUGUCUGGUCCUUAAACACCAGUACUAGUCCAAUAAACCACUCCGCUUUUAUUGAUUUUCAAUUCAUGUUCAUUCGGGUCCCAAACAAGACUGAACGGCCCCGGAGCCGGGUUGUAGGUAUCUACAUAUGAUAUAAGUGCCCAGACGUGGCCAGCACUGCGGUUGACACCUAACUUCAUACCCGGUAAAAAUGUGUCUCCAGGAUAAUCACUUCAGCAGAUCGAGGGUGAUUUGAGGUGUUUUCCCGCUGAAUUGGACUUCGACCCAGGUAUGAAAGUUGUUCCUCUUAUCGAGAUCUUCAUUCAUGUAAAAUUUGGGAAUUUUAGAAUUGUUGAAUUCUUCGGCGAGUCAGGGCUACCAGCCGCCACGUGCUUCGGCGCGUGGCCCUUUGGCCGCCGUCCCAUGGCGGCUCGUGCGGUGAUGUAUGCAGGAAAACCUAAGGUUCCUCCUUAGGUUUUUCGAUGUACCAAACCCGAAUCCGCCGUCCUUUUUCCAAAAUUCUAACGUUUUCAUAGAGUUUUAUUAAACGACCUUUAAUUGUGUUUAGGUGCAUCGGUGGAAGUGACCUCAUUCUUGAUGGUUCGAGCGGCUUUCGGGCAAUGGAAAACUUGUGAGUAGACCCCUUCUAAACUUAUAUAUUGUUAUAAAAUAUUAGCCUAGCAUGCAUUCCAUAUUUCAUGAUUUGAAUAUGAUUUAUAAUAUGCUUUAUGGACUUUUAAUUAUGGUUUACGAAAUAGUUUGAUUUAUCGAAAUUACGUUUUAUUAGGUAUUGAAUUAUUGGAUUUGCAUAUAUGGAUUUCUAUGGUUUUCAAAUACGAUUUAUAUUACGGUUUUACGAACAUGAAUUAUUUUAUGGAUUUCAUGAAUACAAUUUAUCUUGGAUUUAUGAGAUGAGACUUUGAGCUAGUGAGCUCCGGGUUUGAUAUGAGUUUUGAGAUAUGUUUUUGGUACUUAUCUAGUGGGUUAUCAUACAGCACAUCCGCACACCACGGGUAUAGAUGUGUAUGGCCAUAGGACACAGAUGAUGAGGAGGAGUAAGAUAUGAUAUAUUAUAUACCCCCAGUUCACUAUCGAAAGCAGUGUCAGAUAACCUCACUAGCCAUGGCUAGUGUCGGUAUGGAUGUUAUGCUAUUUCAUACAGCUUCACCUUCGGGUGAUAGACAGGUUAUUUAGCUUCACCGUCGGGGUGAUGGACAUGUACUACCUUCGGCCAACUAUGAUAGCCUUAGUUGAGCACUUCACUGACAAGAUUUACAAAUUUGCCUUCGGGCAACGACAUUUUCAUUAUCAAGCACUGGAUUUUACAUAUCUACCUUCUAAAUGGAUUUUCAUGGCAUGCUAGGGUUUUUCAUAAAGCCUAUAUGUAGUAUUAUAUAUGUUUUCAAAAUAAGGGGUUAUUAUGUUCAUAAAUAAAAUGUUUUCCUAUUAUUAGUAUUAUUAAUAUAAACUUUGGUCCACUCACCUUUUCAGUUUUUGCGCCUCCUCAGGAGUUAGGAUCGAGGCACAUGAUCCCGGCAUCAUGGCAUGUUGAUAUAGGUAUCCUUGAAUCUUCUCAGUGUAGGUAUCAUUCCCUUAUUCAUAUCUUUUUAUAGUGAUUCUUCCCUAUUAUUUCUAAUUAGUUGUAUGCUCUAAACACAUUCCUGCUUUGGUAAUCGUUAUAACUACUUAUCUUGUAAUUGUUUGCAUGUUUAAAAUGGUUUUGUCACCCUUGGGCGUGGGCUAGCACGUGCCUACCCUGGUAUGUUGGGAUAUCGGGGUUGGGGCGUGUCAAAGAUAGAGAGUGAAUUUCUAGCAGAUUCAAUGGUUGUCUACAUUUUAAAAAGAGCUUGCCGAAAAGAUUGAUUCAGAUGAAAUAACAAAGGAUUUCAAUUCCAUUAAGGAUUGAAGGGCACAACUUGAAUAGGUAUUUUUCUUUUUAUUUGUUAGGUUGUUAUGACAAGAUUGACGAUGUAUGUUUCUUUAUAUUGUAAGUUGCAACUUUAAAGGUUUUCUUUGUUAAAUCUAGUUGAAACUUGAUUCAUUUAGAGUUAAAUUUCUUACUUCAAAUUGUUGCUUUUAGGCUUAUUAUUGUGUAACUUUAUGCAAGCAACAAAAAAUUUUAACCAUUUGAUUUUGUACUAAUAAUUUUAGCUUAGCAUGCCACCAAAUAAUUCAUGGCUCCGCUAUUGAAAUCUUAGCAUGUGCAAUUUCAAAGUCUCGGUUGCCAAGUCUCCCCAGGCUGUUCAGCACCCAUUCUGAAUCUUGAUCGAGAUCUAGAGCAGUGCAAGUCAAGGAGUCUUCAUUCUCAUUUGAAACAAUGCUAAAAUUAUACCUCAGCUUGGACUCCUUGGGCAAAAUAUACCCAAAUGUAUUAGUACUACUUGUGGAUACACCACUAGUCCAAAAAAAUCACCUCUCCUUUCUUAAUCUUCAAUUGGUGAGGGUCCCAAUCAAGCGUGAAAGGCCCCGGCGCACGGUUGGCUUUAGUUUCCCAUGAUGAAAUCCACGAAACAUGGCCGUUUGUACGGUUGACACCCAAUUUCAUGCCCGGUAAAAAGGUGUCAACUGGUAAUCAAAGCUUUACGUUCACUUCUUCUUGUACAAAAUUUCCCGAAUCCAAAAGGAUAGCCACAACAGUAGCAAUACUGUUACUUAUGUUGGUAGACCUAGUAGUUUGUGGAGCUGAGAAAAACGCAAUUGGAUUAGGAUCCCCCCCGCAUAAUUUUCAAGGUUUUAUUCCUGUCCAAGGCAAGAGUGCGUACAAAAUAGGGGCUUUACGGUUGCAAAUCCAAGCAAUGUUGCCAUCGGCCUUGUUGCUCUGGAUAGAUACGUAGCUGGUGCUUUUGGAACUGUCGUCGUGUACACAGGAACUGAAACUGAACUUCUCCGAUGCAGAGACCAAAGAAUUUGAGGAGUUGAGAGUGUCUCCUGCUGGUUUCAGUGUGUCCCUUGCAGGUCCACAGUCAGCAUGCAAAAAUGAUUAAGUUGAUUAUUGCCAUGAUUAAUUAAUGACCAUAACAUGAAGUUUAAUUUCUCCAUAUGAUGAGGAAGAAAGACAUGAAAUCCAUCACCAGAACAUGAUUAAGAAUUUAAUCAAGCAACGCGUCUCAGUUAAACCAUUACAAUCUUUGUACAAGGCAUUUAUAAAUUAAAAAAAAAGGGAAUAAAGUAAUAAUUACAAGUUUUACACAAGUGACCAUUUAUUACAAUGGUGGAAAGGUGUUAAGCUUUUGCAUGACGGUGUGAGUUCGAACCUCGUCGGUAGUUAAUCUACGAACCCCGUCGGUAGUUAAUUUAACUUCUAAUCUAAUAAAAUCUAUUUUUUGACCAAAAAAAAAAUAAUUACAAGUUUUACUAAAAAUUUAGGGGUGUGAUAUCCACACACCCCUUUUUACUUCUCUUACACCUUUUUUAUUUUCGACCGUCGGAUAUGAUGAAUUGAAGAAAAUCAACGGACAAAAAUUAACAAGGAAUGUGUGAGAAGUAAAAAGGGGUGUGUGGAUAGCACACCCCAAAAUUUAUCGGAAGACUUGAUCACCCAUUUGUAUGCUGACAACGGUGACUAGAUUCACAACCUCUUUCCCACGUAAAUCACAUCAUCCAAUUUUAUUUUUCUUACAACAUAUCACGUAUCUGUCAUAUGCAAGACUUUUUUUUUUUGUUUAACAUGAAAACGAAGACUUUUUUGGAAUAUGGAGAGUGAAAUUGCAGCGGAAGCAUCCUAGAUUUUUGAUCGAAUAUUGAGUUUGGUUUCAUGCCAGACUUCCUGGAUCAAACACACCCUAAAAAAAUAUAUAAAAAACCAAUAAGGUCAUGUGAUACGACAUCAUUUCAAGAGGAAAGGUACAAACAAUCUAGUUUCUAUACUAGGAAGAUUCACUCGAACAAAUUCUUGGAAACUAUGACUCAAACAAAAUUCUAGGAAUUCAGUAUUUUUAACAAAUGAUAAGCGUUUAAGAUAUAUUCUUUAUAAUAUUAGAGAAAUCGAACGGUUGAUCUAUAACUCGCAAAGUGGUUGUAGCUCAAGUAAUUUUACUCCCCAAUUUUACAUAAAACAUAAAAUAAAAACAAAUCCUAAUUUACAUGGUAAUUUUUUUUCAUAGCUAGGGACAACUUCGACUAUGGUAAUGCAAUUAAUAUACACUAGUUUUGGAUGGAGAAGUUUCAAGAUUGAGUAUGGGAUGGGGAGGGGCGAGAGACUUGGAUGGAGAGGUGAGGUUUUAUGAGUUAAACAGUGAUGCAAGGAUGUAUUACUUAAAACUUUAGAGACCGUAUGUUGGGCUAUAUAUAAUAUACGUUACAUGGAUAAUUGUUUAACUCAUAAACGUUUUGAGUGUUUCUAACAUAUGCUUAUCAAAAGCCUUCUCGUUCCAUCAAACAAUACGAAAAUUUUCAAUUGAAUGAAAGACAUACUAUUUUAUAUAUCACAGUACUUCAUGGAUCAUCAUCAUCACAUAUCCUUAAUUCAAAGGUAAUAAAUGAGCAUCUAGUUUUAUUUUAAUUUUAUUUUAUAUAGGGACUACAGAAGCAAGCACCCUCUGUAAAUUAAACUCUAAAACUUCUCAAGUAUCUUGAAAGGUGCCAAAAGCCAUCAGCCAACUCCAGUUGAUGCAUAACCUCCUACAUUUACAAAAACAGCGUCGCCGUUAAUUUAUUGACUUCUUCCCAGGACACAUACCAAUUUGCGAAAGUGGUUUGACUGAUGCUAUAAUUAGUCGAGUAAAGUACAGUCUUUUCAAUUAAGCAGAUGCAAAACACUUAGUUGAUGCACUACAAAUAUGAUUUUUACCUUUAAUUAACGCGCUUCAAAAUCAGAACUGGACUUGUAGUUUGCUGAAGCAACAGUUUCAAGUUGCUGAUUCCCACUUAUACCAGCCUCCACCGUCCUCCUUCCAACAAAAAAUGCUGGCUUUGUUGGUGAUGCUAAUGGAAAGCUUUCAUUUGUCAACAUAGAUAUGACAUCUGACAUGGUAGGGCGAUCUGCUGCAUUUUCUUCUACGCAAAGCAGACCGACAUGGAUGCAUCUUAACAGUUGCUCUUUAAUAAACGAAUUUCCUAAUGUUGGAUCCGUUAAUUCUAGCCCUGCACCUUUUUUCCAUAACUCCCAUGCCUGAAGAACAAGGAUUGCAUUUCAUUCUAAAGAAGAAAAAUAUGAUUAUAAAUUUUAAGAGAGAGAUUUGUUUGUCAUACAUAUCCUACUAAAUUGAGUGCGCGAUCGUCAUUGUAAAAGCUGUUGUUUUUCCUUCCACUUAUGAUUUCAAGCAUCAAUACCCCGAAACUGUAGACAUCAGACUUUACAGAAAUAAUUCCCCCCACGGACUCUGGAGGCAUGUAACCACUACACCAAAUGAAAAAGAAAAAUAGUCAGUAUACUUAUCUGGAAAAAUGCGUGUUUAGCAGUCAAAAGGGGAGGACCACGUCAAUAUGAUGCAGAAAUACUUACAGUGUCCCCGCAACCUUUCUAGUGUUUGCUUCCAAUUCAUUUUGGGUGAAAAUCCUUGCCAUACCAAAAUCUGAAAUUUUUGGGUUCAUGUUUUCAUCAAGUAGUAUGUUACUAGCUUUUACAUCUCUAUGAAUUACUUUCUUUCUUGAGUAUUUGUGCAGAUAAAGCAACCCUUGAGCAAUUCCUUCGAGAAUGCUAAAACGCUUCUUCCAAUCUAGUAGUAGACCUCUGAUUGGAUCUGUCCAAUAUGUUGAGUUAAGUAGGACUAAUAUUAAUUAAUAGUAGUACUCUAUGAACUUUGACAGUAAAAUAAAAAUCAGAUAGUAAAUUUAACAAAUGAAAUCAAGUAUCUUGGUUCCUCACCAAAUAAAAAGUGGUCCAAACUUUUGUUCUGCAGAUACUCAUAUAUCAACAUCAUUUCUUCACCAUGAAUGCAAAAUCCGAAAAGGUGAACCAGGUUUGUAUGUUGGAGUUCAUAUAUAAGUAUCAGUUCAUUCUUGAAUUCUGAUGUUCCUUGCCCUGAACAUUUCGAAAGCCUCUUCACAGCUAUUUCUUGUCCCGUUGCCAAUUUCCCCUGAAUUGAUAAUCCAUAUCAUGCUUUUGCUGUCAUUUUUAGGCAAUUGAAGCUAAUUCCAUUUUUUUUUUCUUACAGCUUUUGAAUUAGAAGCAGAAAUUUUUGUUUUUUCAAAAUGUUACCUUAUAAACCGGUCCAAACCCUCCUUGUCCUAGCUUGUUUUCUUCAGCAAAGUUUCUUGUGGCAGCCACGAUGGAUGAAUAGCUAAAAACGCUAAAAUCAUGAUGUCGCUUAGAUUCAUGAAGAUAAGCAUUUCGUUCUCAAGCGUUGUCCGGUUCUCACCUAUACAGAUCAAUUAUAAGAAAUUAAAGUUUCAAUGGAGACAACAAUUGUCAAAGAUGUGAUUAAUAAUCCUGUAUUACUGGUGCACAUGAUUUAAAGAAAUAUACCAGCUGAUGCAAGGGCUGAUCUUCUUCGUCGGAGUAGAUAGUACGCGGUGCAAAGCACUAGAGCAGCAGCUAUAGAAAUGCCAAUCCAAACCCAUUUAUCUGCUGCAUCAUAAACAAUUAGCUAGCAACAUAUGCAAUCAGUGUAACACACACGGACAUGUACGCAUUAAUUGUCUUCAAUUUUUGGAUGAACUAGGUCUUGCAGGUUUCUUCCGGAAAACGGAAAAAUUCGAGACAGAGAGCAGAACUUAAGACAACAAUAACAAAGAUAGAGGUACCUAAUAAUACUGAUUCCACGCGUGUCACAGAUUUCCGGCUCAAAUCGGGUUUGCAGCCUCGGUAUAUAUCCUUCGGAUCAAGAAAAGAAAACCCUUUUGGGCAUUCGCAGGUUGGCCUUUUAUCUGGUUUGAGCAUACAGGUACUGUUGUAACCGCAAACACCAACGCCCAGUCGUAGGCAAAUAUCAUCCGGCAUAUACACCAGAGGACUAAUCCAACUUGCAUUUCCCGUGAAGUUUUUCUGGUGAGAAUAUAAAGCGAAAAUCCCAUCAAAAUCAAGAGUUGCCCUUAUGUAGUUGUCCCUCACCGACACUCCCUCUGUCCCCUUAAGAGGGACUCUUCCAUCAUUUUCUCUUAGAACAAACAUGUCCCCUGAGCUGCUGAACACCAAUCGUUUGCCUUGACUACCUGGCACGUUCCCUGACGUGGUCUUCGUGGAGAAGUAAGGGAUGUUGGCAUUAUCUGUUGUGACGGAAAUGAGCACGAGGUUUCCAUCACCUUGCAAGCUCAGCCGGAACCGCCCUUUUGUGUAGUUAGUCUCCGAUUGUCUACACGAAAGCGUCCCGUUUCUCUCAAUUGUCUGUCCAGGCAAAACGGUGUCUGUAGGAUUGCUGAAGGUCUCCCACAAGCUCCCCGAGUUUUGGUGUUGAAGGACGAAGUUUCCGGUGUCAUUCAUGACCCCGUUCGCAACAGUCCCCAAGGUUAUUUCGGAUUUCCAUAUCUCUCCACCCUGAGGAUUGUUAAGAACUAGUCCACUGUUGGCAGUCAAGUUCAGAACUGAUCCCCUAGGUGCAACCAUGGGGUUGUUACCGUCAUAUGCAUACCAAAACUACGGUUUUGUCUGGGAUUUUCGCAUACCAUAUCGAAAGCAAGAAACGAUCAUUGUUUCCGAGGGGCGAAAAUCCAAACGCGAAAUCACCGGAAGGAGAAAGCCAUGAUGAGGAGUCGCCUGUAGUUGCAGUUAGAGAACUCCCAACUGCUACUCUUCCAUUAUUUUGGGAAAUCACAGAAAUUGGUAGCAAAAACAAAGAGGAGAACAAAAGCAUCUCUACAGAAAGAGCCACUGCCAUUGCAAAAGCACCAAUUUUUCAACUUGGCUUGAUUGAUUAGCUAUAUUUCUUAGUAAAGCAUUGGUCCUUGUUAUAUCUUUAAGUAAAUGCGUGUGCACCAUGUGCCUGUCAUUUUCUAAGUUUUUGCCUGGAAUUAAAGGCGUCUACACCAUUUUUUGAAGUCACACACAACAAUAUCUCCGGGCCUACAGAAUAAAUUCUCCGAACCUACACAUAUCACAAGAAUUUCACUUUGAAAAAAAAAAUAUAAUGAAUAGUUCUAUAUAUAAUGACACCGAGACUUUUUGUGAUUGAAUUUAUUCUCUCUCAACUCCUUUGUAAUGUUGCAAGUUGGAGCAAUAUUGACGUAAUUAGCAAUGGUCCGCUGACUUGUCUCUCUCAAAUCUCUUAUCAUCCUACUCUCAUCCCUCGUCUGUUUUAUGAUUCUACUUACUUAAGCACUUAUAAAUGUUCCAAAUCAGCAAAGGACUUGUAACUUAAAUAAUUAAUAAUAUUUAUCACUACACUCGAGAUUCUAGGUUCCAAAAUAUAAUAUAUAAUAUAUAUGAAUGUUUCCGAACCAAAAGGACAAGUAAAUACGAGCAUGACUCACGCUGCAUGGGUCGGCCAUUCAAGUCCACCAGUCAAAAUUCAACAAUGGGGCCCACAAAGAAAAUUUGAAAAAGUACAUGCAGAUUGGGGACGGAUACAAAGAAAAUCUGAAAACAGACCUCCAGAACCAAACAAAGACGACUAAGCCUUUAAGUCAAGUGACAAGAGACUUAUAUCUUCACAAAAACAAAGACGACUAAGUCUCAAUUUCUGUAUUCACAAAAAAAAAAGUACUAACUGAAGUUUUUAAUGUAUGAUUACGUCGUUGGGGUAAAACACCCGAUGCCGAGUUGAGAUAAUCACAGGGUUGGGGAAUCAAGAACCUCUUCGAAUGUCACAAUCUAGCGCAAACGGAUGUAGAGACUCAAACCACUUAUUUUAAAUCAUACGGCCUUCAUUAGCCUAUCCUAUUGACCCACAUGGUCCAAAUCUGUCUCUCCCCUCUCUUGAACGGUUUGGAUAUCUCGAUUUGUCGAUUUUGGAUUGCGAGAUUCAAAGAGAAUCUGAUUUCAUGUUUGAGGUGAGGUUUGACGACCAUUUGAAGCCCGUUGAGGCGUGGCCCAUCUCAUCAGGUCGGGUCAGCCAUUUCGUACCAGGUUGGAUCCCAGGUCAGGCCAACCAUUUCAUUAGCCUAAGAUGGACCUGACAGACGAGGCGCUUGGAUAUUGCCUACCGCGACCAAAUGGACCCAUGGACUCAUUAGAUGAUGAGUCUGGACCCUGGUGUGUGUAAAGCCCACCUCAGCUCGAUCCAUAUUCGAUCGAUACUACAAAGAAGGUGGAUAUGAGGUAAAGGUAGAGUAAGCUCCAAGUCAUGUGGAGGUCAGUCGAGAUUGAACACACGUUCAUAGAAUCAUAGUAUCAAAUUCAAGUCCAAAUUUUAACACUACGAAACCGAAAAGCAUUGUUUCAGUCCAACAACCCAAACUUCCUUAAAAAAACUAAGACAAAAACGACGACACUAGGAAACGGAAAAACAUGCAACUCAGAAAACCAUUACUCUAGUCCAAAUGAGGUUCCUCAAUGCCUCAAGCUUUUAUAAAACACCAUAGCCUGAACCUUUUCCUUUGCGCCUUCUUUGCUUCACCAGAAACGUUCUUAAUGAGCUCCUCUUCAAAUUUGGGACGAGCAGGCAUUAGGCUGUGCACAAUGCUGUAAACGCCCCUAGCCCUUGCCACACCCUAGGUGCGUACGCGUGCAUGUCCGACCUGAGUUAUCUUAUUACGCGCGCAGUUUGAUCUUCCCGUAUUGACAUCCCUGCUGUCUAUUCUCCUGCGAAUCCUUCUGCUGGUGACUUCAUCCGAGUCCAUUUUCUUGCUCCUCAGUGCAUGUUCAUCUGCUUUUCCCUGUUAAUAAAUAUAGGAAUCCCAUAACAAACAGCAUUUGACAAAACAGAACGUAAUAAUAACAACAAAACUUGACUCCAUCCUCAGUGCAUGUUCAUCUGCUUUUCCACUUCAAAGCAGCUGACGGCACGAUUCGUACUUGGACUCCAAAAUGUCUAGAUUAUGGAGAAACCAGCCUUCUAUCCAAAACACACAAAGAAGUGUAUUUUCCGUUUAUACCAAUUAAGUGUGUUGAAGCAUGUCCCACAUGGCCACAUAGGAAACUUGUUGAGGUUUAAAUCCUCUUAUAUAGAAAGUUCGACUACUAAUUGCCUUGAGGCCUUAAUUCUGUAUAAAACCAUACCUAUUGAAUUGCACACGUGCUUAAGUUAAGGUCAGUAUUGAUGGUAAUUAGUAGUGGGCUGCUGGGCCGUCUUAAAAAAACUGGUACAAAGGGCAAUUUAUAGAAGCAGUGUUGAGAUAAGGGCAAUUCAUCUGUUCUUUUUAGAAGGAUAUAUAUGAAUGAAGCAAGGUUUAUCUGCUAAUGCGGCUCAGCCCUUUAUCAAAAAGUGAAAGAUCAAAAUUACUUUUACAGCAAGAGCAAUACCAGAAGAUGUAAUCUAAAUUAUUUAUAUUUGGUUCCCUUGAAAUCCUUUUGACUGCUUCAACAUACUAUAUGCAGACAGAACCAGAACCAAGUCCAGACUCACUCGUAAUAGGUCUCCUCAUCCACAACAAUAUCCCAGCUUUCCCUUGUCGUGGUUUUCCCAUAUUUGUGCACCUUACUGCAAAGAGAGAGCAAGUUAACUUGUCAAAGAAAAACCAGAACAAUAGAUGCCAAUGCAGUUCAAAAAGUUUAUUUCCCUUCAUACCCAUUUCCGAAGUGCUCUUCUCCCCAUGUCCUUGACCAACCUAGACAUGAGAGAACAAAAACAGAGUUACAUCAGAUUAAAUUAUUGAAAGAAAAAGGUUCACUUCUGUUGUAACAAAUCGACAUUAGAAUCAAGCAACCACGCUAUGAAAUACAAAUUUAAAAUGUAACAAUUUACUGUGUCUAAAAGGAAUCUUGAAAUAAAAUAGUUAAACCCUAAACAGCACCACUGCAAAUAGCAUAAGAAAAUUAAAAUUAACCCUAAAGAAAUUGGGAGAGAAGAAUAUGAAAAGGGAAUACCUUUCGGCCCCUUUGAGUUAUUGGAAAAAACCCAACAGAGCAAAAGAUAAACAAAAAUACAGGCGGAAAGAAAAUAAAUUUUCAACUUGUAAGAUUCAUACGCGAACAGAUUGGUGGUCAAAAGCAUUUCGGAAUUCAGAGCCAUCAAGCUUUUUGAUCUGCAUGGAAAUUAUUUAUGAAGUUUGAGAUUCUUAUAGACGCUUUAGACACAUCGACAUAUUGAGAAAGCAAUAUUCAACAACCUAGUACCCAUGCUCCAUAGAAGGUUGAGAAAAUAUGAAUGUCUGGACUCUGGAGUGAGAAAGUAAAAGGACUUACCGCAUACUUCAUAUCUUCUAACUUUGUGUAGUCUACAAUCCCUGUUGUGCCUACAAAAAAGGCAUAGGACAAAAGCUAAAUCAAUCGAAAUUCUGAUGUCAUGAUCUAGGUCUUAGGAUUAAACUAUUGAAAUAACACUAUAUGAAAUAGCAGUGUAUAUCCCAAAAAAAGUAUGAAAUCUGGUUGAUAAUUGCAGAGUUCGAAGGGAUUUACCUUUGGAUUCUUCGGCUUUCAGAUGGAGUUUGCUUAUGUAUGGGAGAGAGAGGUGGAGCGGCUAGGGUUUGAGUAUGGAAGAGAUGAAAAAUGGAGAGAACACCUGUUUUGGCUGCAGCAACUCACACACUCCGGACAAAUCUGCAAAUGUCUAAAGGGGGGAAAAUAUAAAAAGAAACCUUAACAACUGAAUUCAAAGAAACAUUAUUACAUUGUAAAUAGCAUUUCACAAAAAAAAUAAAAUAAAAUAAAAUAUACUAAACUAAACUAAUUACACUCGGAUUGCAAUGCUAUCAUUUAAUAAUAGGAAUUCCCAUAACUUAGCAGAAGAUCCUGCAUCUGCAAAGGAUCCUUUAAAACCUAUUUUUUUUAACAACCCCACACCUGCAACACAUCCAGUCAAGGUAAACCAAUAGCACCCUCAUGCAGAGCUCUUCUGUGCAUAUAUACCCCUUAUAAGUAAUCUUAAUCAAUCAGUUAUCAUGAAUAUACAACUUAUAUUAAUUUUCUACAAUAUCCAACACACAAAUAUAACAGAAGAGGAAACUUUUACUUAAGCAGCACAAAAUGAUAUCCUCUGCAUUUCAUUCCAAAAUCCAUCACUCUUAUGUCUUUGCCUGCACAGUUUUUGCUCCAACAUAGCCUGCAAUGAUGAUAUAGCACUAUCAAUAAUUAAGACAUAAAGAAAGGCUAUCCUAGCUAGGUAUUAUGAUUGGAGUAAACCAACAACACCAUAAGUAAAGUAGCAGACCAAAUUUUUUUUAGAAUUGAUGUCUUAACAUGUUUAAGUAGCAAAAAGAUUACAACACAUUGGAUGUGUUAACACGUCCAUAAGCUGAUGACUCCCUCUCCGGUUUACCACAUCAUUCUUAAUGUACUCAACAAUGCAGCAGCAAUUAAAAGUCCUUGGAAAAUGCCAAGCUACUACAAUGACAUAACGAAAACUAUAUCUCACCUUACACCCUUGUUGGCAUAGACAACAUAUCCGUCCUUGUUCGGGGUGAAUCAUAAUCCUGAAUUCAAUUAUCAUCAUCGUCGAGAAUGUCAAACUGUAAAUCAACCAUGCAUGGAACAAAACUUAGAAAUUAAACAAUUAUCAAAGCUUAUGAAGAAUGCUAAACCCAACUAAUUCGAAACAUAAAGUAACCCGAAAGAGAGAAAACUUAUAAAUUUUACAUAAAUUAUAAUCCUUAACAGAAGGAUGGAACAAAACAGGUUCAUUCUUAAGAAUAGAUGUAACUAGUAAUAGGCCUGCGCGCUGCUGCGGGACUUGAAUGCACCAGCCUUAACAACAUGAAUAAGACACAUUUAACAUGAAAAAAAUUCAACAUAAUCAUGAACGAACAAAAAGGAUAGCUGAGUGAACAGUGUUCGUAAGUAAAACAGCUUAGUUUUUAUAUACAUUCAACCAAGCUGAUUACAAAAGAUGUGAUUGUAAAAAAUGUUCUGCUUACCUGAGAAACAAAAGCAACAUGCAUUUUACACAUACAAGACAUCUGAUAUUAAACCUAAAAUCAUGUAAUUCUGUAUGAAGUGGAGAAUAAUGCAGAAAGAUGGUUUUCUAUAGUGCUGCCAAUGACAAUUAAUUUCUCAUGAAAAAAAAGAAAAGAGAAACACAGGUAUAAAAGAAUAUUAUUUUUUAUAGUUGCAAACAUUAUGAAUUCCAAAAAGAAAAACUACAGAUAACACUUCAAUCACAGAUCUAAGCAUCUAAAACGUGGCAACCCAGAUACCAUUCAAGACAUUGCUCAGCAUCAUGGAUAAACUAACCUAUCUGUGUCCCUGUGCUCACUGCAUGUCAUAUACACCCGACCAACUGGGCAUAGGAGCAUAAUGAGGAAAACUUUCAGCACCAUUUUGUACCUGAAAAAUGAGGGAGGAACUAAUUAAAGCGUUCCUCACUUAGAAUAAAUAAUGCAUGCAUAAUAGCCAAAUGGACAUUGCGCAUAUAAAUUGUUGUGGCAAUAACUUGCAAUAGAAAACGUAGUUAAAAAUAAGAUAUACGAAAUACCAACAUUGCAAUGGUAUUUUUUUUUUCCAUUCGAUUGUACUGAAGCAUGCAUCUUAAAUUAGGUACUACGUGAGGUCUCUAUAAUGAAAUGGGAGAUUGAAUACACUUGACGAAACUGAAAAUUCAAAUAUGCACACGCUCCAUAGUGUAUCUUCACAACCAAAAGAAACGUUUAUAUAUACGACAUAUGUUUGACAUUGUUUUUCCCCACUCAAAUCGUCUUGAGAAAAUUUGACUACUAAAAACUACAAAACUUUGAUUAAAGAAUCAAAUAGAAUAGCAUGAGAAAGUUAUUAUUACACCAUACCUGACUUUUUUGCAUAUAAAAACACCUGUAUUUCACCUGAUUUUGUAAUGAAAUACAGAUGCUUGUAGUUCACCAGUACAUAGCUGCCUGUCAUUUGUUGUCUUCUUCGGGUUCAAGAUCCUUAUAUUGUCUGAGACGUGAAAGAAUCAGAAAUUGUAUACAGUUUGAUAAUGAAACAUGUAAUGUGAUUAUGUGACAACAAUGCACUCCUCUCUCUCAGAGAGAUAAACAAAGAUAUCAAAAACAGAGAGGCAAUGUUAAGAUAAACAGAAAGGCAAUGUCACAUUGUUUUGCAUGAUCUUGAAAAUUGGGGAUAAGGUAUUCAAAGUGCUAACAAACACGUGCAAAUGGGGAUAAAAAAGGGGAUAAAUUGAAAAAUAUAUAUGCUCUUAAUCGAGAACUUCAUCAAAUAAACAAUAAAAUCUAAUGUAAUCUGUCCAAAACCAAAGAGAGUGAUAAUUUGGAGGCACUAUAAUGUCUUGGGCAUCGCAUACUUGCGGUAUAUGAUUGAUGCAUCUGUUGCUCAAUCAAAUCAUUUGCUUGGCUAAAAAAGUUAUUUUUACAAUAAAUAGAUUCGCAUCCAAUUUAUGAGAAAUCAUGCAAAAGUAAAUGUAAAUGAUAACGGAAUCAUGAAUGCGAAUAAGAAACACAUACAUGCCAAAAAGAAAACCUACUAUAGUGUGUCAAGUUACUUGCAACAUAAUUUUUUAUGCCAUUAUCCAUUUCGCAAUACUUUAAAAAAAUUUCGUUUGAAAAAGCUUUGCUAUGAUUUUUAGGUUUGGGAAAAAUAAUACCAUAAAAAUUAAAAAACAAUUACUAAAAAUCAUGGCCUGUUAAUAGCAAAAUACACUCCUCAACAAUGUAUAUGAACAUGUGAGUUGAAAAUUUGAAAUAUUCAACAACUAAAAGAAAGAAGCAAAAUCAGAAGAAAAGAAAGAGAUACUCACUCAAAAAUAAAGAUGUAAUAAUGCCAGGCUUCUUCUCCUCGGCAUCCAGAAUUCCAUUGUUGUCUCCAUCUUCAACCUUCAAUGUAUUUAAAAUAUGAAAUGGAAAAAACCCAGAAGAAAUCAUUACAUAAAAUAAAAUUAUCCAAGUAAAAUUAAAGGAUGGAUAGAAAAGAAAUGAAGGCAGUUUAUUCGGACUUAAUUAGAGACUUACUGAAUAAGCUUGAAAUCUAUCUCACACAUCUCUUAAACUUCAACCCCUAUCCUCCUUGCCUCUGUAAUAUGCACACAUAUAGAAAAAGAAAUCGACUUUAGAACCUACAUUGAUACAUAUCUUGUGUGAGUAGGUCUUUCCUGCUUUUCCCCAAUCAUGCAUAUCAAAGAAACGAAAAAGAAGGAAAUCACCCAUAUAUAUAAUACCUUAAGUUUAAAUGCAUCCCAAUUUUGGGUUCCAACGUCACAGAAAGAAUGUCUUAUACAUAAUUUAACAGUACCCCCGACAUCGGUCCAUCCAUUCGUAUUAAUAGUUAUUGUCUGCACAAACCUCAAUUACCUUACAAUCUAUCAUUAUUGACAUAAAGUUCAUACAAUAUGGGACAUCAUGACCUCUCUUUGGCCAGCACCAGUUUUUCCAAAAUGAAAUCAACUAUUACUGCAUUAAUUAUGGGUCCAUCUGGCCAAUUCAUUGAAUUCGCAGACCCAAAAAUUUCACCAAUUAACUGAAUUUACAUACAAAUGGGAGAAGUACAAAAACAAAGACAAUGGCAUAAAUUAUACCAUAAAAAUUACACUACGAAAAAUUUAGAGACCAAAAUCCUUGUUAACAGAAUUUAUUCACAUUAAAAGACACAAUUUCGGUUCAAAAAACUAUCAAAUUUAAACUUUGAUAUCAUAUGAUAAAAUCUUAAUUAAACUCACAAUCUCAAGAAGUUGAAACCAUGUUAAGUAAAAGAAACAAAUUGAAAAAAAUUAAGAUGUAAAUAUUGAUAAGAACAACAAAAGUGGCAAAUACAUUAUACACAGAUAGGACCCUGAAAUAUCGGAACCAGCAGCAACAAAUAGAAUUAAGAAGAAAAAGGAUUAGCAGACUUAAUAAAUGAGAAAUAGGAUAACAGGUACGAACUCAGUUUUUCCACUAUGAAUAAGAGAUCCAGUGGCAUAACCUAACAUUAGGUAGAAUCAAUGCUGGUUGAUUGAAUUUUCAUUCCCUGAAAAUUCAGAAAAUGAUGUGUUUUGAUCUGCAGAUAGAAGCAUUCUAUAUAUAUAAAAAAAAAAUAUAUGGAGACAUGAUGAGGUUCAGAAACCAAACCAUGUCGGUAAAAUCCUCUUGGCAGGUUGCUCAAGGUUGACCUCCUAGCCCUUGGACCAGUCAGGAGACUUGGCCUCCUGCUUUCAAGUUUGGAAGGGAAGUAAAAGGUUCAGCCAAUAAGUAAAAGAAUUGAUUCAGAGGAUAGAAUCAAAAUUUCAAAAAUAUUAUUUGAUGCGAUUAAAACUGUUCCCAAUGAUAAAAUGAAUAAAAAAAUCCAUUGGAAUAAAAGAAAAAGAAUGAUUAAAAUUAUUCACAACCCUUGCUGUUUUUACCUAACCAUUUGUAGGAUCCAUAAAGGGCCAAAAAAAGUUUUUUACUUCUCCUCUAGUCCCAUAAAUUUGGAUUCCAUCUCGUCCAAGCAAACUAACAAUCAUUACUAUACUUUGUUUUAGCAUGCGAACACAAAUCUCAAAAAAAAUAGAUAAUUCAUUUACAAAUUUAAAUUCAAUUUUUAUAUCUCGAUAUUUGUUUGUUAAACUCAAUGAUCAAACUUCAGACUCAUGCCUUCCAAAAAGAAAAGAAAACGAAGAAGAAUUGAAAGCACUUCCCAUUCCAAGGAAAGAGCAGCCAUAAUUAGGAUCCAAAACUCAUUCUUUAGUCUCCUCAUCUGAAGCUAUAUAUAAUCAUUGAACAAAAACGUUUAACGUCCAGCAGAAAGCAAACUGCAAUCAAAAUUUCAAAAAAGCAAAAUAAUGCGCAGAUAAUCGACAGCUGCAACAAACAAAAAAUAGAAAAAUCAAAUGCAGAUUGAAGGAAAAAUCGAGACCGCAAUCGAAACUCAUGCUUGUAUGGGUAAUUAAUUGUAGAUACCAAAUCAUCAAAAACCACUUGUCUACACCAAAUUGCAUACAAAAGAUAUUGGGGCAACUCAGAUUGUGCAAUGAAAAACAAAGUCAAACUACGACGUAGAUGUCUAUCGGAAUUUCAUUCAAAGAAUGAUUAAAUAAAGACAAUGGCAUGCCAAAGAUUAAAUACCCUAAGCGACAGUGUCAGCCAUGAGCUUCCCUCUGUGAGAGCACAGGGGUGUAACUGCAAAAGAAAGCCGGAGACUGAGGGCAAACUGUAAUUUCGUCAAAAAGGAGGAAGUGUACAAAAGAGAAGUGACAGCAAUAAGCGUAGACGCCAAGGACAAAGUAAAUAUGUAUUUGUGAAUGGGGUUAAGCUGCUGCUAGCUUUGUAUAGUGUAAUAAUGCAAUUGCAAAUAGACCAAGUUACUGCUACUAAAAGCUUUUGCAAAAUCAUAAAACUCUUAACAGUUUGAACCCUACCGAAAAGUUUAUAUGAGUUAAAGAACAGUCGUACUUAAGUGCAGCAAGAUCAUAAGCUCUUGCAGCUUCUCCUCCAUAUCAGAACCACCUGCAGUCCAAAUUAACCAAGAUUCAAGGCCAAAGCAAGAACAAAUUAGUGAUAAUUUAAACUAAAGUCCCUAAUUAUUGUUGCAGAGAGAAUUCAUAUCAAGAUUAACGACAUUAUUUGAUUCGAAUGGAAUCCAAACGCAGCAUAAACAUGAAAGGUAAAAAAUUAAUACCAAAAGUCACAUUUAAGCAGCAAUUAAUAGCAUAAAUCAGAUUUUAGUGGCAUGGACCAAAAUAAUUCAGUAAAAAAGAAACAAUCCCAAACAAAUAGAAAGAACUGGAGAAACAAUUCGAAACAAAUCUUCGGAAAGCAACCCCAUCCCUCCCUCACCCUCUCUCUCUCCAAUUCCAACUUCUCCCUACAUCUCUCUGUCUAUAAUAGAUGUGCAGUUUUAUUAAUCUUUGUUGCCGAAGCGUGCAAGAUAGUGAAAAGAUUGUUUAUCUAAGAAAAAAAAGGGCACAUUUUAGAUGGAGACAGAUGGCAUUUAACAAAUUCUUCAUUAGUGGAGUAAAUAAUUUGCAACCACCUAUUUCCUGGUAGCAUUAAAAAAAAAAUUCAAUUUUAAAAAAGAAAUGUACUUUUUAGUUCAAUUUCCACAGCCAUAGUAAUUUAUGUGGACUAAAAUUAAGAUUAACUAAUACAUCCAAUCAACUGCAACUAAACAACUUAUAGUAAUUGAAUCUGUGUUUGUGGAUGUGAGAGAGAGAGAGAGAGAGUUAUCUAUUAUAAAGCCAACCUUCUUUGAAUUGGUCCUCUUAUGGCUUAUUACCAAAACUCUCCAUUGCAUUUGCAGUAAUGCCCUCUGCUUCUCCUCCUGCGAAUUAUCAUUCUGUAAGUAAAAGGUACAAAAACAUCAAUUACUUAAUGGUAGAUAUGUACUUUAGACUUUUGAAGAUCCAAUUCAUCCUGCAUCUUCUCACACUCAUCUUCAUGCUGAAGCUGCAAACCUGUCAGCUCAGCUUCAAGUUCGCUCCUCAUUGAAGUUAUUUUCUAUGAAAAUGAUAAACUGGUUUGUAACGUAAGCAUAUAACACUCUAGUUAAAUUAGUAGUUCCAACUUAAUUCAAAGCUAAAAACGACAUUAAUGACCACAAUUUAAGAAUCCAGAAACAGCCCAAACUAACAACACACACAGAGGACAGACACUGAAAGACAUAUUUUUUUAGAGAACCUAACUAAAAAUUAAAAACAAACCAAGUAAAAUUUUCAGAGUUUAAAAACAGGAAACCAUUACAAUCUUUACAGAAACCAACUAAAAUUGGAAUCUGAAAAAAAAUCCGCUCAAUUUUAACAGCCCUGCUGCAUAUAUUGGGUUUUUUUAGGCAUGAGACAACACAAACGAAGAAAACAUAACAUAGUUGUAAACCUUAGGCUCCAAUCAGGUCAAGUGUGAGAUUUCAAACACGGAGAUUUACUCCAUGUUUAAAAACUGCCAAAUACAUUGCCAACUGUUAAGAGUAUGAACUACAAAUCUAUAAAGUAAAAAGACUUGCAGAUAAGUUUAAACAAUCAACAUUCAACUUAUGAUUGUUACUGUUUUUUAGCUGGAUGUUCACAUUCUAAUAAGGUAUUAAAAGAGAUUAUAAGCGUGUGUGCUCUUAAACCACCCAACACCAUGUAUUAAUCAAAUAAUUAACAUCUAAAGAUGGAGACAUGAAACACGAAACCUGCAAUUAGAUCCCAAUCACAAAAUGCCAAAAAAAUCCUAAUCUAACCAUCCCUAUACUAAUAGCCCAUUCGAGCAGCUAUUAGCACCUAACCCGCUACUUUGGCAACCCACCAACCCGCCACACCGUCAUGUCCCAUCCCCUCUCCACCACUCACUAUAUCUCUCACCUUUCUUUCUUGACAUUUCGCUCGGUGCACACAAACACCAAGCCAACCAUUGCCGGCCUUUGUCUAAAAGUGGACAAAAUCCCAUAGGUCCUGGCAGAGGACCUAGCUAAAUCUCUCUCCCACUCAGUCGAAACCCGUAGCUACCAUUUCUCUCCAAUCUGUCAGUCUCUCUGUCCCCCUCUUCUCCUCCCCCCAACAACCCUCUGACCGAUGCAUCACCCACAGCCACACCCACCCGCACCCGAGUCAAAAAUCCCAACGAUCCUCUCCCUCCAACCCGUCAACAAAUUAUGGAUUCCGAGAAUGUAUCUUGAAAACUCAGAUGCACAUGAUUAAAAUUAGUAGAUAUUAAGGACGUGUACUUAACAGAACAACACGAAGAACGAAUGAGUACAUUACAAACUAAAUGACCGUGUCAGCUAGAUACUUCUUAAAGAACACCUCUAAUCUACCAGUAUGAUUACUCAGUUUUUGGUUUUUAAAUUAAUACCCUAAACCUUACAUUCAAACUCAUUUCGAAUGCAAACAAAAGUAAAUGAUAAGUCCCGAGCUUUUCUUUCUAGCCUCAACUCAACUCAAGUUCCCAACCUUCACCUUCCAAUACAAAGAAACUAACGCAUCAAUCUGCAAUUUCGCAAACAUAUAAUUCAACUAACCAAGUUCUGUGUCCACUCAAAUGCACAUAUUUGAGCUCAAUCAAACUUAAAUUUGAAACAAAUAGUGAUGAAAGAUCAAACAUUUAUACCUAGCUUAGGAUCCGAACCAAUCUCCUCUUUCGCCUCCCUCGUCGCCGUGUCCCCAUCGUCCUUGUCCCCCUCCUCUGUUUUCCCACCCGGCAAAGAAACUUCACCUGCAGAAACACAAAACCAAAAAUUAAAAAACCAAUCUUUCCCAUUUCCAUUUUUAUCAAUUUCCUCAAUUUUUCCCAUUUCCAGAAAAAUGAGCAAGAAGCUUAAGCAGGAAAAAAAUCAUAAUUUCAACAACCAAAACCCAAUACCCGUUUAAUCAUACACGAACGAAAAAUCUAAACACAGAGUCACAGAUUAACGAACUGAAAACCCAAAAAAAAUAAAGGAAACUGACCUUACUUAAGAACAAUACAUAGAACACAGAGAAACGAAACAAAUAAAGGAACCCCCAAAACCAAAUAAAGGAACCCUCAAAACCUGACCUAACAGUGCAACAAAAUCUGGAAAUAAUUCACAGCAAAAAGGCAGAAAUGAUGACAAUCUAUGCUAACAGUAAAGAAUCGAAUUAAAAAUUGAACUUAGCUUUUGAAAUCCAGCCACUCAUCCGACAUGCAAAAGGGAACGGAUGAUCGAGAGUGAAUCAUGGACUGAGGGACCUUACUCGACCCAUCAUUGGAGCUACGUUUGUAGCUUUUGGGGAGAAAAAAAUUGAAUGUGAAAGCUGCUUUUGAUGUGGCCAUUAAGGUGGUGCUUCAGCAACCGAAGCAAAAGAAGAAGAGGCAGAAAAAUGUGAGUAUUCCAUGAAGAAAAAAAAAAGGUUAAAAAAUCACUAAAAAGAAAAGGCAGAAAAAUGCAGGGUAUUCCAUGAAGAAAAAUUCAACAAUUAAAUAAUAUAGCUGUAAACCUUAGACUCCAAUCAGGUCAAGUGUGAGAUUUCAAACACAGAGAUUUACUUCAUGUUAAAAAACUGCUAAAUACAUUGCUAACUGUUAAGAGCAUGAACUAUCUGUAAAGUAAAAAGCCUUGCAGAUAAGUUUAAACGAUCAACUGUCAACUUAUUAUUGUUGCUGGUUUUGAGGUGGACGUUCGUAUUCUAACAUGGUAUUAAAAGAGAUUAUAAGUGUGUGCGCUCUUAAAUCAGCCAACACCAUGUAUUAAUCAAAUAAUUUAUAUCUAAAGAUUGAGACAUACAACAUGAAACCUGCAAUUAGAUCCCAAUCACAAAAUGCAAUAAAAAAAUUCCUAAUCUAACCAUCCAUAUACUAACAACCUAUUCGAGCAGCUAUUAGCACAAUUUACCUCCCUCUCUAUUCUUCCCCACCCCCUCUUUAACCAAAUAAAAACUCAUUUGUCUCACUAAAUAAAAACCUCAAAUUUGUUUUUUCAAAGCUGCAACAACAUCACUAAAAACACCAUGUAAUAAAAAUUUAAAAAAACCAAUCCAAUUUAAGUCGAGAAGCAAAUGACCAAACCUCCUAUUUUGAGGAAACAUUUUGCAUUCAAACCUAAAAUGCUUGCCUGCAAAGAAGGAUUAAAUAGCAAAGCAGACUUUCGGGGGAAAUAAAAAAAACAGACUAUUUAUAAUACAAUAAAAAUAAAGUAAUUCAUCAUCCCCACCAUCUCUGUGAGCUUUAACAGAACAGAGGAAUCAAAUUAAGCAAUAUAUAAAUUUAAGUUGACAUUCCAGUGUUCUACCUCUAACCUUGGUAGCAUGCAUGCACUGUAAGUUAUAAAGUGAAUUAAGCCAAGAUCUUCUAACUUCAUGAUUUUCACAUAUGCAUUAGAUGGAGAAAUACAAUAAAUAAUCAAAUAUGUAAGACUCUGAUAUUCAAAACCAAACAAACCCAAUUACACUUUUAGUUCACUAACCCCAUUGAAUAAAAUCCAAUUCAAUAAAAUAACAGAAAAUUAAACAACCCAAAAAUCAAAACAACCCCACUUGUAGUUUUAGCUCACUAAUCCGUUGGAUAAAUAGAUGCCAAAUUCAAUCAGAAAACAUACAAUUAACAACAACCCAGAAGAGCCAUCCGAAAACCCAACCAAUUAACCAAAAAAUACCACUUGUUCUUUUAGCUUAGUAACCAACCUCUACUUGUUUUCUGGCAAAUUUGGGGUCCUUUGAUUUCUAGACUUUCAGUAGAAACUGAUUAUACCAUGGGCUAAUAUUCAAGUACCACAAAAUAUAAUUUUACCGUAGUAAGCUUUUUGAUUCACUCCAAACGAAGAUAUUAUAUGUUCACAUAUAUAUAUUCACAACCAUAAAAAGAAGAACUUAUCUCUGGCAUUUUAAUAAAAAUAAAAAUAAAUUAUUCACCCACAGUAAAAACCGAAACAGCUAAAUUAAACCCAAAAAUUAAUCAUGAUCAUACAUAUGUAUUCCUGACAAAUGUUUAGCCCUUUAAUUAAAACACUAAAAUAAAAAAUUGCUCACCCACAGUAAAAAACCGAAACAUGCAAACCAAAGCCCAAAAUUUAAUCAUCACUAUUACUUUUUUUUUUUUUGGUGUUUUUAAGUUUCAGGGAAAAAUGGAAGCACAAACAAUCAAAAAACCCAAACAAAAAGAAAUUAACACCAAAGAGAUAAAUUAUAUACCUGACCCAGAAAAAGCUUGGAAGCUCACAUAAUGAAACCCUAAAACUCGAAGAAGGAUGCUUCCUGCAAACCAAAUACAAAAUCAGACUCUCUCUCUUAGAAAGAGAGAAGUUAUCAAGUCCUGUACUUGGUUAUAUUUGUUCAAGUUAGGAAAAAUCGAGUACAGGGUUGGUACCUGGAGCUUGAGAAAUCAGAGAGCUUGCCUGUUUGAGAAAAGAUGAUAACAACAGCUUCAGAUUCACACAGAAAACGUACAAAAAACGCACAACAUGCUCUCUGCCCUCUCUCUCUCUCCCUCCCUGUCCAUCCGUCCCUCAAAAAGUGGGAAAAAAAAUCUCCAAACGUCUCUCCCACUCAUGAAAUCGAGGAUCUGCAGCAAUGGCGCUGAGGUCGCCACUCCUCCCUCUCCCUUUCUCUGUCGCUCUGUCUCUGUCUCUGUCUCUGUCUCUGUCUCUCUCUAUCGAAGGCAUGGCCUUUCAUCCCCGAAACCCUCACUGAAUGACAGCAAACCCAAACCCACCCCAAUCCGUCUCAAACACACAGGACAAAAUUGCCCUUCCAACCCAGCCCCAAUACCAGCCCAAACCUUACGGUUUUGUUGUAAAUAGCGUGAAAUCGAGUGGCUCCCUGAUAAGCCAUAUGGACAAAAUUACCCUCUGAAAUUUUGAGAAUCACCCUCCCAACCCACUCCCAUUCGGCUGGUACUGUUGUAAAUAAAGCAAAAUAAAAACAAACGUGAAUAGUGCCUGCCCUCCCCCUACUUUAGUAUAGAUAAUUUUGCACAUUGCAUAUAUGUAGAUUAAGGACGGUGGUAACAUACCUUGUAAUUUGUACAAAUUAGGAUUUUCAUUCAAAGAACUAUAAUAUACACAAUUACAAAAAAAGUGAUUCAAACUUGUUCUUCUCUUAAGGAAAUUACUCACAGUUGAAAUUCUGAAUGGAUGAAGUUUUGGCUUCCCUUUCCGACUAUAUUUGAUUAACCUUUUUUUAAUCCAAUGAGUGCCUUCAUGAGAGAGAGAGAGAGAGGAAUAUUAGGUGAAAAGUAUUGCCAAAUCACACAGAGAUCAAAAUCUUGAAUAUAUAUGUUUAACCAUGUCAAAGUGAGUGUGUAAAGGGUGUAGUCUGCAGAAAGGGCAACAUUUUCACUGCUAGAAAGUUGGAAACUAAACUUUUACACAGAUAUUGGAUUUUAUUAAUUCCCUUCGCGAAUUGAAAAGCAAAUUGUUCGAGUAAUGCAGGUAAAUUCGAUAUACAUAUGCGUUGAUCUAUGUGACGGUUAUAAGUUAUAACUGUAUUGUCUUAACGCAAAAAUGAUCAUAAAUGUAAGUGUCUGUAUUAUGGAAGUAAGGGACUUACAGCAAUUGCUAUGAGCUUUAACAGCAGUCACUCCAAGUACCUUAUUACGGAAGUAAGGGACUUACAUCAAUUGCUAUGAGCUCUACCAGCAGUCUCUCAAAGUGGUGCAAGGGCUAAAAUUAUAAAUAAAAAGUAAUUUAAACAAUUUAACUUAAUAAAAUAUUGUAAUUUAAACAAUGCCUAUAUAUUCAAACAUCCCAAAACAGGAAUGAACUUCUAGAAAACAUGCGCAUGAAAAUAAACGGCAUUACUCACCCAUUGAGUUGGACCAUCAAACUGGAGCGUAAGAAGGAUCAUCAUGUACCUAUGAAACCCAAAGGAAAAUUUUAGCAACCCCAAAGCUUGUAUGCAAGCGUGAAUAAGUAUGCGUGUAUGAAUCUAUUCAUAGUGAAGAAGGCUACCUUAAGAAAUAUUUGCAUCUGCAGCUUCAUAUGGCCAUACAACAAAAAGCAUCGCAUAUGAUAACAAACCCCAGCUGCACCACAAAAGGAAUAUGAUCUUCCUCUCGACUUGUAUUUGCAGUUGUUACUGUAACAUCUGCAGACAGCAUACAUAAGCACUGAUUCGAUAAUUCUAAAGGAAAAAAAGUUCUUAUUCGAUAAUGCACCAAAUCCUAUCCAAAAACCAAGGGGGUGCCAUAUCCCUAGAUUAACAGAGCAUCUUUCUUUGUUCCAAAACAAAUUGCAAUUGGCUUUGGUAAAGUAGAAAGAUUACCAGAUACCGACUCUGUUCCAUUAUUCGACUGUCCUUUUAGUUCUAUCUCUCAACAUGGGAAAUACAAUAAGACAGUAAAGACAAAAGUUAGUGAUGCUAUUACAUAGUGAAAGAAAAUAAGACAUUCACAUAUUGAUAGCUAUUUACUGUCCUUUCUCAUCAUAAUCUUGGCCCCAAUAUAUAUACUGAAUUUUGAAUGCAAUGAGAGAAAUAUACCUUUGGGGCGUCAAUGCCAGAAGAGUGAGUGAGGGAUCUAAGAUGUUUGAGAGCAGGAAUUUUUAAGUAAUUUGUGUGAAAAAGUUGAAGAGCUUCGAACAGAGUGGAGUGGGUUGGCCUGGGCUAAAAUAAAGAGGAUGAACUCUAGAAAGUAGAAAAUGUUGUUAUUCAACCAAACUCAAAAGUAAAGAAACCAUACAAUUAACAUAUAAAUAAGUUUUAUAUACCAAUGUUUACAUGUACGUUGUUUGAGAAGGUAAAUUAGCAACAUAUACAGUGAUCAAAAGAUUAACAGCAAUAAACUGCUCAUUAUUCGAAAUAUACAUGAAAGUUGUCAUUCACAUGAUCCAAAUGGUAGAGGACAAAACAGAAGGAAGCAAAUAUUAUAGCAGCAUAAGUUGAAUAAUUGCAGCAAGUAAACAAAUAGAAAGGCUAGCUAGAUUACACAAUCCAGUUCUAGGUCGGACUAACCAUGUUAGCCAUCCGCCCACCACCAGCACCGUCGGCUUCUUAUUAAAAAUGUAGAAUAGAAGACUCAAAAACUGGAAAUGAAAGCAGGUAACAUUGAGUUUUAAUAACCAAAAAGGGACAUUGUUUAAGCAGCUCCAUAGCAGCAAUUAUACUUGGACGAUGAGCUGCAAAAACAGAAAAGAAAACACAAAUUAAACUAAAAAAAAUAUAAAAUUUAGCACUAAUCCAGGAUUAAAUAUAAAAUAUAAAGUCAUUAGGAUUGGGACCUUUGCAUUGAGGAAUAUCUACUACAUUAUGAGUUCCCUCCUGACAGUGGCGGAUCCAGGAUUUUAAACUCGGGGGGUCUCAAUAAUAAAGGUCAAAAAAUUUAUACACAAAAACAACAUUGAAAAUUUAAAUAUAAUACAUUUCAUUCAAAAAUCAUAUGCAAAACAAUAUUACAAAUUAUAAAAUCAUAAUUCAAGCGUCCAUUACAAGGUUUCAUAAGUUACUACCUAAGUUAUUGAUUAUCUAAUAUGGACCACUAAAUUUAAAACACCAGUCAAAUAAAACUCUUCCCAAACUCCCACUAUCUUUCUAACCAAACACACCAUUUUUCUCUUUUACUAGUUUCCAAACAUCCACUUUCUCUCUCACUAAGAACACAGCUGCCAUACCUCCACCAACCACCUCCCUCCCCAUUCUCCCGAAGCCAUGGCAGCUCCACCCCCAAAUUUCACCAACCCAUGACAGAUCAUAUCCAUCUUACUAACCUUAUGCAGGAAAUUUCACCCAUAACAAAAAUUACUAAGGUGGUUGAAAUAAUUUGGGGAAAUUUGGGCUUAUGUACUGCCCCGCCAGACGACAGAUGGAGGAGAAGUGGGUGGCACCGAUGGAUGAGACCAUGGCAGAAGCAAGGAGAGAGGCUGGAAGGGUCCCUAUUUUCUUUCUUCUCCGUGCGCGGUCAUCUUCUCCGAGAAGAAGACAGCCACUGCAACCUACAACCUGCACAGACCUCAUGCUCGAGUACGAGGGGUCCCCGGAAAAUUUCUAGCAGCGAUUUAGGAUCGCCGACGGGUCCUGGGACCUCCCAGGUCCCUAUGUAUGCAGGAAAACCUAAGGUUCCUCCUUAGGUUUUUCGAUGUACCAAACCCGAAUCCGCCGUCCUUUUUCCAAAAUUCUAACGUUUUCAUAGAGUUUUAUUAAACGACCUUUAAUUGUGUUUAGGUGCAUCGGUGGAAGUGACCUCAUUCUUGAUGGUUCGAGCGGCUUUCGGGCAAUGGAAAACUUGUGAGUGGACCCCUUCUAAACUUAUAUAUUGUUAUAAAAUAUUAGCCUAGCAUGCAUUCCAUAUUUCAUGAUUUGAAUAUGAUUUAUAAUAUGCUUUAUGGACUUUUAUAAUUAUGGUUUACGAAAUAGUUUGAUUUAUCGAAAUUACGUUUUAUUAGGUAUUGAAUUAUUGGAUUUACAUAUAUGGAUUUCUAUGGUUUUCAAAUACGAUUUAUAUUACGGUUUUACGAACAUGAAUUGUUUUAUGGAUUUCAUGAAUACAAUUUAUCUUGGAUUUAUGAGAUGAGACUUUGAGCUAGUGAGCUCCGGGUUUGAUAUGAGUUUUGAGAUAUGUUUUUGGUACUUAAUCUAGUGGGUUAUCAUACGGCACAUCCGCACACCACGGGUAUAGAUGUGUAUGGCCAUAGGACACAGAUGAUGAGGAGGAGUAAGAUAUGAUAUAUUGUAUACCCCCAGUUCACUGUCGAAAGCAGUGUCAGAUAACUUCACUAGCCAUGGCUAGUGUCGGUAUGGAUGUUAUGCUAUUUCAUACAGCUUCACCUUCGGGUGAUAGACAGUUAUUUAGCUUCACCUUCGGGGUGAUGGACAUGUACUACCUUCGGCCAACUAUAAUAGCCUUAGUUGAGUACUUCACUGACAAGAUUUACAAAUUUGCCUUUGGGCGACGACAUUUUCAUUAUCAAGCACUGGAUUUUACAUAUCUACCUUCUAAAUGGAUUUUCAUGGCAUGCUAGGGUUUUUCAUAAAGCCUAUAUGUAGUAUUAUAUAUGUUUUCAAAAUAAGGGGUUAUUAUGUUCAUAAAUAAAAUGUUUUCCUAUUAUUAGUAUUAUUAAUAUAAACUUUGGUCCACUCACCUUUUCAGUUUUUGCGCCUCCUCAGGAGUUAGGAUCGAGGCACAUGAUCCCGGCAUCAUGGCAUGUUGAUAUAGGUAUCCUUGAAUCUUCUUAGUGUAGGUAUCAUUCCCUUAUUCAUAUCUUUUUAUAGUGAUUCUUUCCUAUUAUUUCUAAUUAGUUGUAUGCUCUGAACAAAUUCCUGCUUUGGUAUAAUCGUUAUAACUACUUAUCUUGUAAUUGUUUGCAUGUUUAAAAUGGUUUCGUCACCUUUGGGCGUGGGCUAGCACGUGCCUACCCUGGUAUGUUGGGGUAUCGGGGUUGGGGCGUGUCAAAGAUAGAGAGUGAAUUUCUAGCAGAUUCAAUGGUUGUCUACAUUUUAAAAAGAGCUUGCCGAAAAGAUUGAUUCAGAUGAAAUAACAAAGGAUUUCAAUUCCAUUAAGGAUUGAAGGGCACAACUUGAAUAGGUAUUUUUCUUUUUAUUUGUUAGGUUGUUAUGACAAGAUUGACGAUGUAUGUUUCUUUAUAUUGUAAGUUGCAACUUUAAAGGUUUUCUUCGUUAAAUCUAGUUGAAACUUGAUUCAUUUAGAGUUAAAUUUCUUACUUCAAAUUGUUGCUUUUAGGCUUAUUAUUGUGUAACUUUAUGCAAGCAACAAAAAAUUUUAACCAUUUGAUUUUGUACUAAUAAUUUUAGCUUAGCAUGCCACCAAAUAAUUCAUGUCUCCGCUAUUGAAAUCUUAGCAUGUGCAAUUUCAAAGUCUCGGUUGCCAAGUCUCCCCAGGCUGUUCAGCACCCAUUCUGAAUCUUGAUCGAGAUCUAGAGCAGUGCAAGUCAAGGAGUCUUCAUUCUCAUUUGAAACAAUGCUAAAAUUAUACCUCAGCUUGGACUCCUUGGGCAAAAUAUACCCAAAUGUAUUAAUAAUUUAAUACUACUUGUGGAUGCACCACUAGUCCAAAAAAAUCACCUCUCCUUUCUUAAUCUUCAAUUGGUGAGGGUCCCAAUCAAGCGUGAAAGGCCCCGGCGCACGGUUGGCUUUAGUUUCCCAUGAUGAAAUCGACGAAACGUGGCCAUUUGUACGGUUGACACCCAAUUUCAUGCCCGGCAAAAAGGUGUCAACUGGUAAUCAAAGCUUUACGUUCACUUCUUCUUGUACAAAAUUUCCCGAAUCCAAAAGGAUAGCCACAACAGUAGCAAUACUGUUACUUAUGUUGGUAGACCUAGUAGUUUGUGGAGCUGAGAAAAACACAAUUGGAUUAGGAUCCCUCCCGCAUAAUUUUCAAGGUUUUAUUCCUGUCCAAGGCAAGAGUGCGUACAAAAUAGGGGCUUUACGGUUGCAAAUCCAAGCAAUGUUGCCAUCGGCCUUGUUGCUCUGGAUAGAUACGUAGCUGGUGCUUUUGGAACUGUCGUCGUGUACACAGGAACUGAAACUGAACUUCUCCGAUGCAGAGACCAAAGAACUUGAGGAGUUGAGAGUGUCUCCUGCUGGUUUCAGUGUGUCCUUGCACUUGCAGCAUUGUGACAGGUCCACAGUCAGCAUGCAAAAAUGAUUAAGUUGAUUAUUGCCAUGAUUAAUUAAUGACCAUAACAUGAAGUUUAAUUUCUCCAUAUGAUGAGGAAGAAAGACAUGAAAUCCAUCACCAGAACAUGAUUAAGAAUUUAAUCAAGCAACGCGUCUUAGUUAAACCAUUACAAUCAUUGUACAAGGCAUUUAUAAAUUAAAAAAAAGGGAAUAAAGUAAUAAUUGUUAGAAUAAGAAGAAAAUGUAGUACAACAAUGGAGGAUAUGCUGCAAUGACUAGAGUGAGAGAGAGAGAAAGAAGAGAGCAGAGAAUAUGACACUGCAAUUCUUUUCACACGCAUUGUUUGAUUGCUCACUUAGUGAGAGAGGAACAUCUCUCUACACUUAACAGUUACACUUCCAAACUUUUGGCAGUAUUCAAAAUUACAUCCAAGUAAUCCUAGCCAUCCAUCUUACACCCUAUGAGAUGAAGACACAUGUACACUCACUUACUUAAGAACUAUGAGACUUAGAUAAGAAAGCAUACAACCAAUUUAGCUAAUCAUCCUAGCAAUAUAAGCUAGAAAUACAACUACCACAUCAGAUCACAAUUUACACACUAACAGCCCCCUUUAAAUUGUGAACUGAUUUAACUCCAAGAAGUUCCCUCAGAUAACUGAAUUGUUCUCUUGCCAAUGCCUUUGUAAAGAUAUCAGCAAUUUGGUCUUUCGUAGGACAAUGCAACAGCUCAAUUACUCCUUGCUGCAAUGCUUCCUUUAUGAAAUGGUAUCUCCUGUUGAUGUGCUUGGUCUUCUGAUGAAAAAUAGGAUUUUUAAUGAUAGCUAUGGCUGAAGUAUUAUCACAAUUCAUUGGUGUUGCAACUAUUUGCAUUUCACCAAAGUCCUCCAAAACAAAUCUCAGCCAUGUAGCCUGUGCAGUUGCUUCAGAUGCACUAAUGUACUCUACUUCAGCUGUUGAUAAUGCAACACAUUGUUGCUUGACUGAAGACCAAGAGAAAACUCCACUGCCAAAGGUAAAUGCAUACCCCGAUGUACUUUUCAUAUCAUCUUCUGAACCGCUCCAGUCACUGUCACAAAAUCCCAUUAAGAUUGCUCCUUUGCCUUUCUUGUAUUCCAAGCCAAAAUCAAGAGUCCCUUGAACAUAUCUUAGUACUCUCUUUGCUGUCCCAAGGUGCUUGUUGGUUGGACAGUGCAUAAACCGUGAUAGCAGACAUGCAACAUACAUUAUAUCAGGUCUAGUUGCUGUGAGAUACAGCAAACUGCCUACAAUUUGUCUAUAUUGAGCUUCAUCCGUAGUCCCACUUCCAUCCUCUUUUCUCAAUUUAUCACUUGGAACCAAUGGAGUACUCACUGACUUACAGUCUUGAAGUCCAAAUUUCUUCAGUAGAGAAGAAGCAUAUUUUCUCUGAUGAAUGAAAAUAUACUCCUCAGUUUGCAUUACUCCCAUACCAAGAAAGUGAUGUAAGAGUCCAAGAUCAGUCAUUUCAUAUUUGAGCAUCAUAUUAGAUUUAAAGUCAUCCAUCAAUUCCUGACAACUUCCAGUGUAUAUUAUGUCAUCAACAUAGAUAGACACUAUAAUCAUUUCUGAACUUUUCCUCCACUUGGUAUACAGAGUUGCUUCGCUAGUGCUUUUCUUAAACCCACAGAGUGUAAGAUAUGAGUCUAUUUCACCAUACCAGGCCCUUGGUGCCUGCUUCAGACCAUACAGUGCUUUAUGUAACCUGUAGACCUUAUCUUCUUCCCCUUGUACAAUAAAUCCAUCCGGCUGAUCAACAUACACUUCUUCUUCUAGUACACCAUUCAAGAAUGCCGAUUUUACAUCCAAUUGAAACAACUUCCAUUUGUUCUUUGCUGCCAGGGCAAUUAAUGUUCUGAUUGUAUCCAACCUUGCCACAGGUGCAAAGGUUUCAUUAUAAUCAAUUCCGGGCUUUUGUGCAUAGCCUUUUGCAACAAGCCUAGCCUUGUUCUUUUGAACUGAUCCAUCCAAAUUCAAUUUAGUUUUGUACACCCAUUUCACACCAAUCACAGGUUUAUCAGAUGGUCUUUUCACUAAUUCCCAAGUCUUAUUUUUCUCAAUCAUGCUGAUUUCAUCUUUCAUAGCUUUCUUCCAUGCUUUAUCCUGUGCAGCUUCAUAAUAGGAUUCUGGUUCAACAAUACACAUGACAUCUUUCAUAGAUUUCACUCAAACUUCUAUAUCUCAAAGGAGUAUGAUCAAUCUGAGAUGCAAAAAUUGAGUCACUAGCACUUCCAGAUUCAAUGAGUGGAGAAUCUGUAAGUUGAGUCUGAGAACCUUCAGCAACAGCUUGUUCCAUGGAAUCCGAAUCCUCAUCAGCUUCUUUCAUCUCUGAAGAUUCACUUGCAGCAAUUGGAAUGUACACUUCUUUGAUCUUCUAUCUAUCCCAAUCCUAUGUACCAUUCUCAUAAAAAAUAACAUCUCUUGAAAUGAUUACUUUCUGAUUUUCAGGAUUAAGCAAUCUGUACCCCUUUUCACAAGUGCCAUAUCCAAUAAAAAUACCAAUGACACUUGUUUCAUCCAGCUUCUGUCUCAGGUUUCCAGGAAUAAGGGAAUAACCUAAUGAGCCAAACACUCUCAAGUGUUGAAUUCCAGGUUUUCUUCCACUGAAUUUCUCAAAAGGUGUCACAUUUUCCAAUACUUUUGUAGGACAUCUAUUUAGCAAGUAGACAGAUGUAACUACAGCUUCACCCCAAAGACUAUAAGGAAGACCUUUCUCAUGAAGCAUACACUUUGCCAUCUCCACUAUAGUUCUAUUUUUUCUCUCUGCAACUCCAUUCUGUUGUGGAGAGUAUGCAACAGUAAGCUGCCACUCCAAACCCAAAGCUUCACAAAACUGUUCAAAUUCAUUUGAGGUAAAUUCUUCUCCUCUAUCUGUUCUCAAUUUCUUCACUGAAAAACCACUUUGAAGUUCCACCAUAGCUUUGAAUUUCUUGAAUACAUGAAAGACAUCUGACUUGUGUCUCAAGAGAUAUAUCCAGCACAUCCUCGAAUAGUCAUCAAUGAAUGUAACAAAGUAUCGAUUUCCACUUAUGGUUGGUGUUUGCAUAGGGCCACACACAUCUGAGUGUAUAAGUUCCAAUGGCAUUCUUGCUCUCCAGAUUGACUCCCUUGGAAAGGACACUCUAUGAUUCUUACCAAAUGCACAUCCCUGACAUACACCUUCACUGUCAUGCAUUUCAGGUAACCCAAGAACCAUAUCAUGCUCCUGCAAUUGUUGCAAACUUCUAAAAUUCAGGUGGCCAAACCGUUUAUGCCACAUUGUACUAUUCUGAUGCACAUUGGUUUUCAGUACCAAAUGAUCGUUUGACUUGAACACAAGUGGAAAGCAUCUGUUCCCCUUUUGUUUCACACUAACCACUAAAUUUGUCAGAGUUCUAUCAUAAAAAAUAUCCACCUUAUAAUCACCAAAUAACAGAAAAUACCCAUGUUCAGUCAUCUGCCCAACACUGAGAAGGUUUUCUGCAAUUCCAGGUACUAACAUAACUUCUCUUAUGUACCUUUUUCCUUUAUCCGUGUCAAUGACCAAGGUUCCUUUGCCUUUCACAUCAACAAGAACCCCUGUGCCAACUUGCACUUUUGCUUUAAUACUUCUAUCAAUUUCCACAAGUAACUCCUCUCUGGAAGUCAUGUGAUUACUGCACGCACUGUCAAUAUACCAGGCAUCACUCACAGCUUUCACUUCAGUUGAUUGCUUGACCAUGAAGAGAUUUCCAGGUUCCAGGUUCUCCCACCUUGUUUCUAAAAUUUCUUUGCUCUCCCACUUUGUCUGCAAAAUUCCCUUGCUGAGCAUUUUUGUUUUGAUUGCAGAUCCUAGCAAUAUGACCAGGUUUUCCACACUUGUGACAUUUAAUCUUCCCUUUUAGCCAACAUUCACCAUAGUGAAGUUUAUCACAGUAUUUGCAUGCCCCUCCAGUGUUGUUAGCUUCAUUUCUUACACUUGGAGUAAACCUGUUAGUCCACUGCUUCCCUUUGAACUUGAAGUUCUUCUGAUAUUUUGAUCCACCAGUAUUGGUAUGUUGAUUACCAAAUUUACUAUUCUUAGAUGAGAUAUAUAUCUAAGCUAGCAAAUGCACGUUCUGUGCUACUCUCUUCAUGUCUGAUUAAUCUUAGUUCAAACCCUUUCAAUAUGGCAACCACAUCUUGUGCAUCAAUUACAUCAAUAUCUUUAGUAUUUUCUAUAACAGAAGCAAUGCUAUCAUAUGUUUUGGGUAAACUGAUCAAUAACUUUUGCACAAUUCUCUGAUUACUAAGAUCUUCUCCAUAGCUUCGCAUCUGAUUUAUCAGAUCAAACAACCUAGCUAAAUAUGCAGCUAGAGAUUCACUUUCACUCAUACGGGUAUAUUCAAAAUCACGACGCAGACCUUGUAAUUUCACAGAUCGUACCUGUUUGUCCCUACACAUACUCUUGCUUCAGAAUAUCCCAAGCUUCUUUUGCAGUUUCCAAGGUUGCAAUGCGUGGAAAAAUUUGAUCCGAUACGGCUCCCUGAAUGAUUCCAAGAGCCCUUGCAUCCUUGACCAGAUUUUCACUCCGCAACUUCGUUUCCACCUCAGUGAGUUCUCCUUCCCCUUUCGCUGAAGUGGUAAAACCUUUUUCAACAAUAUUCCAUAACUCGUGAGAUCGGAAGAUUGUUUUCAUUCGAAUCUACCAGAAAUCGAAAUUUUCUCCGUUGAACACCGGAGCUCGAAGCUCCCCUCCACCAGAUCCAGCCAUGUUAGACUUAGAUCACACCUCUCUCUACUAUUUUCUUUGCAACGAUGUGUUGCAAACACUUGCUCACUAUCUCUCACAGAAUCGACGCCCAGAGAUUCAGACCCAACAAGGCUCUGAGGCCAUGUUAGAAUAAGAAGAAAAUGUAGUACAACAAUGGAGGAUAUGCUGCAAUGACUAGAGUGAGAGAGAGAGAAAGAAGAGAGCAGAGAAUAUGACACUGCAAUUCUUUUCACACGCACUGUUUGAUUGCUCACUUAGUGAAAGAGGAACAUCUCUCUACACUUAACAGUUACACUUCCAAACUUUUGGCAGUAUUCAAAAUUACAUCCAAGUAAUCCUAGCCAUCCAUCUUACACCCUAUGAGAUGAAGACACAUGUACACUCACUUACUUAAGAACUAAGAGACUUAGAUAAGAAAGCAUACAACCAAUUUAGCUAAUCAUCCUAGCAAUAUAAGCUAGAAAUACAACUACCACAUCAGAUCACAAUUUACACACUAACAAUAAUUACAAGUUUUACACAAGUGACCAUUUAUUACAAUGGUGGAAAGGUGUUAAAAGCUUUUGCAUGACGGUGUGAGUUCGAACCUCGUCGGUUGUUAAUCUACAAACCCCGUCGGUAGUUAAUCUAACUUCUAAUCUAAUAAAAUCUAUUUUUUGACCAAAAAAAAAUAAUUACAAGUUUUACUAAAAAUUUAGGGGUGUGAUAUCUACACACCCCUUUUUACUUCUCUCACAUCUUUUUGAUUUUCGACCGUCGGAUCGGAUGAAUUGAAGAAGAUCAACGGACAGAAAUUAAUAAGGAUGUGUGAGAAGUAAAAAAAGGUGUGUAGAUAGCACACCUCAAAAUUUACCGGAAGACUUGAUCACCCAUUUGUAUGCUGACAACGGUGACUAGAUUCACAACCUCUUUCCCACGUAAAUCACAUCAUCCAAUUUUAUUUUUCUUACAACAUAUCACGUAUCUGUCAUAUGUAAGACUUUUUUGGAAUAUGGAGCGUGAAAUUGCAGCGGAAGCAUCCUAGAUUUUUGAUCGAAUAUUGAGUUUGGUUUCAUGACAGACUUCCUGGAUCAAACACACCCUAAAAAAAUAUAUAAAAAACCAAUAAGGUCAUGGUGAUACGACAUCAUUUUAAGAGGAAAGGUAAAAACAAUCUAGUUUCUAUACUAGGAAGAUUCACUCGAACAAAUUCUUGGAAACUAUGACUCAAACAAAAUUCUAGGAAUUCAGUAUUUUUAACAAAUGAUAAACGUUUAAGAUAUAUUCUUUAUAAUAUUAGAGAAAUCGAACGGUUGAUCUAUAACUCGCAAAGUGGUUGUAGCUCAAGUAAUUUUACUCCCCAAUUUUACAUAAAACAUAAAAUAAAAACAAAUCCUAAUUUACAUGGUAAUUUUUUUUCAUAGCUAGGGACAACUUCGACUAUGGUAAUGCAAUUAAUAUACACUAGUUUUGGAUGGAGAAGUUUCAAGAUUGAGCAUGGGAUGGGGAGGGGCGAGAGACUUGGAUGGAGAGUGAGGUUUUAUGAGUUAAACAGUGAUGCAAGGAUGUAUUACUUAAAACUUUAGAGACCGUAUGUUGGGCUAUAUAUAAUUGUUUAACUCAUAAACGUUUUGAGUGUUUCUAACAUAUGCUUAUCAAAAGCCUUCUCGUUCUAUCAAACAAUACGAAAAUUUUCAAUUGAAUGCAAGACAUACUAUUUUAUAUAUCACAGUACUUCAUGGAUCAUCAUCAUCACAUAUCCUUAAUUCAAAGGUAAUAAAUGAGCAUCUAGUUUUAUUUUUAUUUUAUUUUAUAUAGGGACUACAGAAGCAAGCACCCUUUGUAAAUUAAACUCUAAAACUUCUCAAGUAUCUUGAAAGGUGCCAAAAGCCAUCAGCCAACUCCAGUUGAUGCAUAACCUCCUACAUUUACAAAAACAGCGUCGCCGUUAAUUUAUUGACUUCUUCCCAGGACACAUACCAAUUUGCGAAAGUGGUUUGACUGAUGCUAAUUAGUCGAGUAAAGUACAGUCUUUUCAAUUAAGCAGAUGCAAAACACUUAGUUGAGGCACUACAAAUAUGAUUUUUACCUUUAAUUAACGCGCUUCAAAAUCUGAACUGGACAUGUAGUUUGCUGAAGCAACAGUUUCAAGUUGCUGAUUCCCACUUAUACCAGCCUCCACCGUCCUCCUUCCAACAAAAAAUGCUGGCUUUGUUGGUGAUGCUAAUCGAAAGCUUUCAUUUGUCAACAUAGAUAUGACAUCUGACAUGGUAGGGCGAUCUGCUGCAUUUUCUUCUACGCAAAGCAGACCGACAUGGAUGCAUCUUAACAGUUGCUCUUUAAUAAACGAAUUUCCUAAUGUUGGAUCCGUUAAUUCUAGCCCUGCACCUUUUUUCCAUAACUCCCAUGCCUGAAGAACAAGGAUUGCAUUUCAUUCUAAAGAAGAAAAAAUAUGAUUAUAAAUUUUAAGAGAGAGAUUUGUUUGUCAUACAUAUCCUACUAAAUUGAGUGCGCGAUCGUCAUUGUAAAAGCUGUUGUUUUUCCUUCCACUUAUGAUUUCAAGCAUCAAUACCCCGAAACUGUAGACAUCAGACUUUACAGAAAUAAUUCCCCCCACGGACUCUGGAGGCAUGUAACCACUGCACGAAAUGAAAAAGAAAAUUAGUCAGUAUACUUAUCUGGAAAAAUGCGUGUUUAGCAGUCAAAAGGGGAGGACCACGUCAAUGUGAUGCAGAAAUACUUACAGUGUCCCCACAACCUUUCUAGUGUUUGCUUCCAAUUCAUUUUGGGUGAAAAUCCUUGCCAUACCAAAAUCUGAAAUUUUUGGGUUCAUGUUUUCAUCAAGUAGUAUGUUACUAGCUUUUACAUCUCUAUGAAUUACUUUCUUUCUUGAGUAUUUGUGCAGAUAAAGCAACCCUUGAGCAAUUCCUUCGAGAAUGCUAAAACGCUUCUUCCAAUCUAGUAGUAGACCUCUGAUUGGAUCUGUCCAAUAUGUAGAGUUAAGUAGGACUAAUAUUAAUUAAUAGUAGUACUCUAUGAACUUUGACAGUAAAAUAAAAAUCAGAUAGUAAAUUUAACAAAUGAAAUCAAGUAUCUUGGUUCCUCACCAAAUAAAAAGUGGUCCAAACUUUUGUUCUGCAGAUACUCAUAUAUCAACAUCAUUUCUUCACCAUGAAUGCAAAAUCCGAAAAGGUGAACCAGGUUUGUAUGUUGGAGUUCAUAUAUAAGUAUCAGUUCAUUCUUGAAUUCUGAUGUUCCUUGCCCUGAACAUUUCGAAAGCCUCUUCACAGCUAUUUCUUGUCCCGCCGCCAAUUUCCCCUGAAUUGAUAAUCCAUAUCAUGUUUUUGCUGUCAUCUUUAGGCAAAUGAAGCUAAUUCCUUUUUUUUUUCUUACAGCUUUUGAAUUAGAACUUGGGAGCAGCCUCUCCAUAAAUGGGGGUAAGGCUAGCCGACAUUCACCUCUCCCAGACCCUGCGUAAAGCGGGAGCCUUGUGCACUGGGUACGACAGCUUUUGAAUUAGAAGCAGAAAUUUUUUUUUUUCAAAAUGUUACCUUAAACCGGUCCAAACCCUCCUUGUCCUAGCUUGUUUUCUUCAGCAAAGUUGCUUGUGGCAGCCACGAUGGAUGAAUAGCUAAAAACGCUAAAAUCAUGAUGUCGCUUAGAUUUCAUGAAGAUAAUCAUUUCGUUCUCAAUCGUUGUCCGGUUCUCACCUAUACAGAUCAAUUAUAAGAAAUUAAAGUUUCAAUGGAGACAACAAUUGUCAAAGAUGUGAUUAAUAAUCCUGUCUUAUGUUGGAUUAUGUGGCCAAGUGGCCAUAUACUUUAGAUUAAACAAACCAAAGGUGGACAACACCUUUCCUUGUUUUGGGGAGGAAAAUAGGGAAAAGGUUUUUUGUCUUGGUCCAUGGGAAGUCACGGUUGAGGUUUUGAAUAAUAAGUUUUGGUUGUAAUGAGAAGUAAGAGUGGGAUAGAAGAGAAGAAAAUAGAGUGCAGAAAAUUGAGAGAGCCGAAGAGAAGAGAGGGAGAGAAAGAAGGUACUGCUACAGUACCAUUUUCAGAGAAGGGGUUGUUGUUCCUUUCAUUGGAUAAUUCUCACUCCAUCAAAGUGUUAUUGUUGUAAUAGCUUUGAGCUUUGUAUAGAGAAGAAAUUAAUCACUAUAUUUCUUUCUCUAUUUGUUUCUUUGGAGUGUGAGUUAUUGGGUUAUUUGGGUUGUGAGAUUGCCAACACUUUGUAAACUCCCAUUUGGUUGAUAGUGGAUUCUUGGGUGAGCUCCUACUGCUCCGAGGACGUACUCUAGUUACACUGACUGUUGAGGAACCUCGUUAAAAUCUUGGUGUCUUUAAUAUUUUGUUCUUGCAUUUUAUUUGAUAUAUUUCCUGUGGGUUAGCUUGAGUUGGUUCCACAAGGGUUUGGUGCUAUCCUAGCACAACAAUUGGUAUCAGAGCACUGGUUGCUCUUGGGUACUGUCUAGUUGCCAAAAAUGUCAGACGGGCAAGAUGAAAAUCCUUUUGGAAGCAGCUCCGGGUUUGCAAGAACGACGGUGCAAAAUGCAAAGUUCGAAGUGGAAAAGUUUGAUGGCACACAAACAACUUCGGGAUGUGGCAAUGUGAGGUCAAAGAUGUGUUGGCUCAACAAGAUCUACUUGCCGCGUUGGGAGAGAAGCCGGAAACUAUGUCGAAGCCGGAAUGGGAAAAAUUAAAUUUGUGGGCUUGCUCUUCAAUUCGGUUGUGCCUUGCAAAAACUCAGAAGUAUUUUGUGAUGCGGGAGACGGUAGCAAGUGUGUGUUGUGGCAAAAAUUGGAAGACAAGUAUAUGACAAAGAGUGCAGAGAACCGACUACACUUGAAGAAAAAAGCUCUACCGCUUCCAAUACAAAGAAGGUACAAAAAUGAUUAGACACCUUGAUGCUUUUAAUAAGUUGAUUGCCGACUUGUUAAAUUUAGAUGAGGAUAUUAAGGAUGAAGAUAAGGCCUUAAUAUUGUUGAAUUCCUUGCCGGACUCUUAUGAGCAUUUUGUUACAACUAUUAUGCAUGGUAAAGAAACUGUGAAAUUUGAAGAUGUGUCAAAUGCCUUGAUGAAUUAUGAAAUGAGGCAUAGAGAUAAAAAUCAUGAUAGUACCUCUGAAGCUUUAUUUGUUAGAGGUAGAUCAUCGGAGAGGAGGUCAUCUUCUAGCAGGAAAAAAUCACAGUCUCGACCUAGAGGAAACUCUAAAGGUAGAAAACCUUUGGAAAGGGAUGAAUGUGCCUUUUGUCGUAAUAAGGGCCAUUGGAAGAAAGAUUGUCCCAAAUUGAAGACCAAAGGAAAAGAAAGUUCUGAAGCUAAUGUUGCUGAGGUUGAAACAGAUUUUUCUGAUUUUGCUUUAACCACUUCCUCAUCAUUUGAUUGUGCUACUAAGUGGGUGUUGGAUACGGGUUGUACUCAUCAUAUGACUCCUCACAAGGAUUGGUUUUCAAGCUUGAAAGAGUUUUGAUGGUGGCGUUGUGUUCAUGGGAGAUGACAAUCCUUGCACAACAAAAGGGAUUGGUACAGUUCGUUUGAAGUUGCAUGAUGGCAUGGUUAAAGAGUUGACAGGUGUUCGGUAUGUACCGAAUUUGAAGAAAAAUCUUAUUUCUUUGGGUACUUUGGAAUCUAAGGGUUUCAGGUUUCAUUCAGAUGGACAGACAUUGAAAGUUACUUAUGGUGCACUUGUUGUGAUGAAAGCUCCUAGAUGUGGCCAUUUGUAUUUAUUGCAGGGAAGCACUGUGACAGGUGAAGCAUCUGUAGUCUCUGAAAAUAUGGGCACAUCUGAUUCAGAUACUACUAGAUUGUGGCAUAUGAGAUUAGGCCAUGCCGGUGAGAAAGCUCUACAAGGGCUUGUGAAAAAAUGUCUUCUAAAAGGUGCCACGACUUGUAAGCUUGAUUUCUGCGAGCAUUGUGUCUUGGGAAAGCAAACUAGAGUGAAGUUUGGUACUGCUGUACAUCAGACGAAGGGCAUUCUUGAUUAUGUGCAUUCGGAUGUUUGGGGUCCUACAAAGACUCCCCUCUUUGAGUGGUAGACAUUGGUUCGUGACCUUUGUUGAUGAUUAUUCAAGAAGGUCUUGGGUCUACACUAUGAAGCAUAAGAGUGAGGUGUUAAGCAUUUUCUUGGGUUGGAAGAAAAUGGUUGAGAACCAGACUGGGAGAAAGAUUAAGAUUUUGAGAUCGGAUAAUGGUGGUGAAUACACAUCCGAUCCUUUCUUUAAAGUUUGCAAAGAGGAAGGAAUUGUGAGACAUUUCAGUGUUCGGGGAACUCCACAACAAAAAUGGAGUUGCAGAAAGAUUGAAUCGAACCUUGCUUGAGAAAGGUUAGAUGUAUGUUGUCUCAGUCGGGUUUAAGCAAGUCAUUUUGGGCAGAAGCAGUUAAUUAUGCAUGUCACAUCAUCAACCGGUUACCCUCAGCUGCUAUUCAGGGUAAGACACCAAUGGAGGUAUGGACUGGAAAACCUUCUUCUGAUUAUGAUCAUAUUCGUAUUUUUGGUUCACCUGCUUAUUUUCAUGUAACUGAAAAUAAACUUGAUCCUAGAGCCAAAAAGGCUAUCUUUCUUGGUUUUAGUAGUGGUGUCAAAGGUUACAGGUUGUGGUGUCCAGAGAUGAAGAAACUGGUAAUUAGUAGAGAUGUGACAUUUGACGAAGAAAGUAUGUACAAAGUCUCUGAGAAGAAUGUGAAAGAUGUCCAACAGGUGGAGCUUGAGAAAGUUGCUUCUGGUACUUCAAAUCCUAUUUCCGCUGAUGUCGAAGCCACUACAAGUGAAGAAGUUGGAGACCAUGAGGAUGUUGAAGAAGUUGAACUUGAAGAUUCUAUUCAAGUUGAAGAGCAAGUUUCACCUCAAGAGUCUAUUGCCAAGAACAGAGGAAAGAGACAAAUUACUAAGCCAGCUCGGUAUAGUGAUUAUGUUGCUUUUUGCUCUUCCUAUUAUCACUGAAGAGAUUCCAUCCAAUUUUGAGGAAGCUAUUGAGAGUGAGGAGAAGAAUAGGUGGUGCAAUGCCAUGGGUGAUGAGAUGAAUUCUCUCUUGAAGAACAAGACUUGGGAGUUAGCUAAAUUGCCUAAGGGCAAGAAAGCUAUUGGUUGCAAAUGGGUGUAUGCCAAGAAGGAAGAUGCUGAUGAGAAAAGCAAUGUGAGAUUUAAAGCAAGAUUAGUUGCUAAAGGGUAUGCACAAAAGGAGGGCAUUGACUACAAUGAAAUCUUUUCUCCGGUUGUGAAGCACUCCUCAAUUCGCAUUAUGUUAGCUCUUGUUGCACAGUAUGAUCUUGAGCUUGUGCAACUUGAUGUAAAAACGGCUUUCCUACAUGGUGAUUUGAAUGAAGAGAUUUAUAUGUGUCAACCAGAUGGGUAUAUAGUGAAAGGGAAGGAGAAUUUGUUUUGCAAAUUGAAGAAAUCACUUUAUGGUUUGAAGCAAUCUCCAAGGCAAUGGUAUUUGAGGUUUGAUAAAUUUAUGAGAGGCCAAAAUUAUUCUAGAAGUCAAUAUGAUCAUUGUGUGUACUUCAAGAAGUUGCAAGAUGGGUCUUUCAUUUAUUUAUUGAUAUAUGUUGAUGAUAUGUUGAUUGCCUCAAAGAAUGUCGAAGAGAUUGAGAAAUUGAAGAAGCAAAUGAAGAAUGAGUUUGAGAUGAAGGAUCUUGGUGAAGCGAAGAAGAUCCUUGGCAUGGAGAUCACUAGAGAUAGAGCAAAGGGUUUCGUCAGUUUGAAUCAAAAACAAUACCUUGAGAAGUUGAUUCGGAAGUUUGGAGUUCAUGAUUCAACCAAACCGGUUAGUACCCCUUUGGCUCCUCAUUUUAAAUUGAGUUCUCUACAAUGUCCUAAAAUCGAUAAAGAGAAACUGCAAAUGAAAAAUAUACCAUAUGCAAAUUUGGUUGGUAGUUUGAUGUAUGCAAUGGUAUGCUCUAGACCGGAUAUUGCUCAUGCAGUUGGCAUGGUGAGUCGAUAUAUGCAUAAUCCAAGUAAAGAGCAUUGGCAAGCAGCUAAGUGGAUAUUGAGGUAUCUCCAUGGUACUCGAGAUGUUGGUUUAUGCUUUGAGAGGGAUGACUCUGGUAUUGGUCAUUUUGCAGUUGGUUAUGUUGAUUCAGAUUAUGCAGGUGAUCUGGAUGGAAGGAAGUCUACUACAGGCUAUGUGUUUACUAUGGCUAAAGGGCCAGUUUGUUGGAGGUCCAUUUUGCAGUCGUCUGUUGCCUUGUCUACUACAGAGGCUGAAUAUAUGGCAGUUGCUGAAGCUAUAAAGGAGGCCAUUUGGAUACAUGGGCUUAUUAGAGAUUUGGGGGUUGAUCAGAAGCAGGUGGAGGUACAUUGUGAUAGUCAGAGUGCCAUUUAUUUGGCUAAGUAUCAGGUUCAUCAUGCGAGGACCAAGCACAUAGAUGUGCGUUAUCACUUUGUUCGUGAAAUUGUUGGUGAAGGGGAAAUCAUUCUCCAGAAGAUUCCAACUAAAGACAACCCCGCUGAUAUGUUGACUAAGGUUGUUGGUGUAGCCAAGUUUGUUCACUGUUUGAACUUGGCUCACAUUUUGCCUAUAUAAAGAAGGCGUUGAGUAGUAGGAGUUUUGGAGCAUUUGGCUCAGCAUGAGUUGUUCUCUUGCUAGUGUUUGGGAGUGAUGUUGUGUGCUAAUUGUGUUGGUUGGCUUAUCAUGGCGUUUUCGGAACUUGGCCAAGGUGGAGAUUGUUGGAUUAUGUGGCCAAGUGGCCAUAUACUUUAGAUUAAACAAACCAAAGGUGGACAACACCUUUCCUUGUUUUGGGGAGGAAAAUAGGGAAAAGGUUUUUUGUCUUGGUCCAUGGGAAGUCACGGUUGAGGUUUUGAAUAAUAAGUUUUGGUUGUAAUGAGAAGUAAGAGUGGGAUAGAAGAGAAGAAAAUAGAGUGCAGAAAAUUGAGAGAGCCGAAGAGAAGAGAGGGAGAGAAAGAAGGUACUGCUACAGUACCAUUUUCAGAGAAGGGGUUGUUGUUCCUUUCAUUGGAUAAUUCUCACUCCAUCAAAGUGUUAUUGUUGUAAUAGCUUUGAGCUUUGUAUAGAGAAGAAAUUAAUCACUAUAUUUCUUUCUCUAUUUGUUUCUUUGGAGUGUGAGUUAUUGGGUUAUUUGGGUUGUGAGAUUGCCAACACUUUGUAACUCCCAUUUGGUUGAUAGUGGAUUCUUGGGUGAGCUCCUACUGCUCCGAGGACGUACUCCAGUUACACUGACUGUUGAGGAACCUCGUUAAAAUCUUGGUGUCUUUAAUAUUUUGUUCUUGCAUUUUAUUUGAUAUAUUUCCUGUGGGUUAGCUUGAGUUGGUUCCACAAGGGUUUGGUGCUAUCCUAGCACAACAUCUUACUGGUGCACAUGAUUUAAAGAAAUAUACCAGCUGAUGCAAGGGCUGAUCUUCUUCGUUGGAGUAGAUAGUACGCGGUGCAAAGCACUAGAGCAGCAGCUAUAGAAAUGCCAAUCCAAACCCAUUUAUCUGCUGCAUCAUAAACAAUUAGCUAGCAACAUAUGCAAUCAGCGUAACACACACGCACAUGUACGCAUUAAUUGUCUUCAAUUUUUGGAUGAACUAGGUCUUGCAGGUUUCUUCCAGAAAACGAAGAAAAAUCCGAGACAGAGAGCAGAACUUAAGACAACAAUAACAAAGAUAGAGGUACCUAAUAAUACUGAUUCCACGCGUGUCACAGAUUUCCGGCUUAAAUCGGGUUUGCAGCCUCGGUAUAUAUCCUUCGGAUCAAGAAAAGAAAACCCUUUUGGGCAUUCGCAGGUUGGCCUUUUAUCUGGUUUGAGCUUACAGGUACUGUUGUAACCGCAAACACCAACGCCCAGUCGUAGGCAAAUAUCAUCCGGCAUAUACACCAGAGGACUAAUCCAGCUUGCAUUUCCAGUGAAGUAUUUCGGGUGAGAAUAUAAAGCGAAAAUCCCAUCAAAAUCAAGAGUUGCCCUUAUGUAGUUGUCCCUCACCGACACUCCCUCUGUCCCCUUAAGAGGGACUCUUCCAUCAUUUUCUCUCAGAACAGACAUGUCCCCUGAGCUGCUGAACACCAAUUCUUUGCCUUGACUACCUGGCACGUUCCCUGCGGUGGUCUUCGUGGAGAAGUAAGCUUUCUUGGCCUUAUCUGUUGUCAAGUUGACGGAAAUGAGCACGAGGUUUCCAUCAUCUUGCAAGCGCAGCUGGAACCGCCCUUUUGUGUAGUUAGUCUCCGAUUGUCUACACGAAAGCUUCCCAUUUCUCUCAAUUGUCUGUCCAGGCAAAACGGUGUCUGUAGGAUUGCUGAAGGUCUCCCACAAGCUCCCCGAGUUUUGGUGUUGAAGGACAAAGUUUCCGGUGUCAUUCAUGACCCCGUUCGCAACAGUCCCCAAGGUUAUUUCGGAUUUCCAUAUCUCUCCACCCUGAGGAUUGUUAAGAACUAGUCCACUGUUGGCAGUCAAGUUCAGAACUGAUCCCCUAGGUGCAACCAUGGGGUUGUUACCGUCGUAUGCAUACCAAACCACGGUUUUGUCUGGGAUAUUCGCAUACCAUAUCGAAAGCAAGAAAAGAUCAUUGUUUCCGAGGGGCGAAAAUCCAAACUCGAAAUCACCGGAUGGAGAAAGCCAUGAUGAGGAGUCGCCUAUAGUUGCAGUUAGAGAACUCCCAACUGCUACUCUUCCAUUAUUUUGGGAAAUCACAGAAAUUGGUAGCAAAAACAAAGAGAACAAAAGCAUCUCUACAGAAAGAGCCACUGCCAUUGCAAAAGCACCAAUUUUUCAACUUGGCUUAACUGAUUAGCUAUAUUUCUUAGUAAAGCAUUGGUCCUUGUUUAUAUCUUCAAGUAAAUGUGUGUGCAUGUGCCUGUCAUUUUCUAAGUUUUUGCCUGGAAUCAUUUUUUGAAGUCAAUGUUACCCAUCAGCCACGAUAUGACCUCAGACCUCGCUACAUCACACACAAUAAUAUCUCCGGGCCUACAGAAUAAUUUCUCCAAACCUACACAUAUCACAAGAAUUUCACUUUGAAAAAAAUAAUAUAAUGAACAGUUUUAUAUAUAAGACACCGAUACCGAUACUUUUUGUGAUAGAACUUAUUGUCUCUCUCAAUUCCUUGUAAUGUUGCAAGUUGGAGCAAUAUUGAUGUAAUUAGUAAUGGCCCGCUAACUUGCCUCUCUCAAAUCUCUUUUCAUCCUACUCUCGUCCCUCGUCCGUUUUAUGAUUCUACUUAAUUAAGCACUUAUAAGUGUUCCAAAUCAAACUUGUAACUUAAAUAAUUAAAAAUAUUUAUCACUACACUGGGGAUUCUAGGUUCCAAAAUAUAAUAUAUAAUAUAUAUGAAUGUUCCAAACCAAAAGGACAAGUAAAUACGAGCAUGACUCACGCUGCAUGUGUCGGCCAUUCAAGUCCACAAGUCAAAAUUCAACAAUGGGGCCCACAAAGAAAAUUUGAAAAAGUACAUGCAGAUUGAGGACGUAUACAAAGAAUCUGAAAACAAACCUCCAGGACCAAACAAAGACGACUAAGUCUCCAUUUCUGUAUUCACACAAACCAAAGUACUAACUGAAGUUUUUAAUGUAUGAUUACGUCAUUGGGGUAAAACACCCGAGGCCGAGUUGAGAUAAUCACAGGGUUGGGGAAUCGAGAUCCUCUCCGAAUGUCACAGUCUGGCACAAACGAACGUAGAGAUCCGAACCACUUAUUUUAAAUUCUACGGUCUUCAUUAGCCUAUCCUAUUGGCCCACAUCACACAAGGGGCCCAAAUCUUUCUCUCCCCUCUCUUGAACGGUUUGGAUAUCUCGGUCUGUCGAUUUUGGAUUGGGAGAUUCAAAGAGAAUUUGAUUUCGGGUUUGAGGUGUGGUUCGCCGACCAUUUGAAGCUCGUUGAGGCGUGGCCCAUCUCAUCCACGUCGGGAUAGCCAUUUCGUACCAAGUUGGAUCCCAGGUCAGGCCAGUCAUUUCAUUAGCCUAAGAUAGACCUGACAGACGAGGCGCUUGGAUAUUGCCUACCGCGACCAAAUGGACCCAUGGGCUCAUUAGAUGAUGAGUCUGGACCCUGGGGUGUGUAAAGCCCACCUCAGCUCGAUCCAUAUUCGGUCGAUACUUAAGGGAAGGUGGAUAUGGGGUAAAGGUAGAGUAAGCUCCAAGCCAUGUGGAGGUCAGUCGAGAUUGAACACACAUUCAUAGAAUCAUAGUAUGAAAUUCAAGUCCAAAUUUUAACACUACGAAACCGAAAAGCAUGCAACUCCGAAGAGCAUUGUUUCAGUCCAACAACCUAAACUUCCUUAAAAAACUAAGACAAAAACGACGACACUAGUAAACGGAAAAACAUGCAACUCAGAAAACCAUUGCUCUAGUCUAAAUGAGGUUCCUCAAUGCCUCAAGCUUUUCUAAACACCAUAGCCUGAACCUUUUCCUUUGCGCCUUCUUUGCUUCACCAGAAACGUUCUUAAUGAGCUUCCUUCAAAUUUGGGACGAGCAGGCAUUAGGCUGUGCACAAUGCUGUAAAUGCCCCUAGCCCUUGCCACACCCUAGGUGCGUACGCUUGCAUGUCCGACCUGAGUUAUCUCAUUACGCGCGCAGUUUGAUCUUCCCGUAUUGACAUCCCUGCUGUCUAUUCUCAUGCGAAUCCUUUUGCUGGUGACUUCAUCCGGGUCCAUUUUCUUGCUCCUCAGUGCAUGUUCAUCUGCUUUUCCCUAUUAAUAAAUAUAGGAAUCCCAUAACAAACAGCAUUUGACAAAACAGAACGUAAUAAUAACAACAAAACUUGACUUCAUCCUCAUUGCAUGUUCAUCUGCUUUUCCACUUCAAAGCAGCUGACGGCACGAUUCGUACUUGGACUCCAAGAUGUCUAGAUUAUGGAGAAACUAUCCCUUUGUCCAAAACACACAAAGAAGUGGAUUUUCCGUUUAUACCAAGUGUGUUGAAGCAUGUCCCACAUGGCCACAUCGGAAACUUGUUGAAGUUUAAAUCCUCUUAUAUAGAAAGUUCGACUACUAAUUGCCUUGAGGCCUUAAUUUUGUAUAAAACCAUACCUAUUGAAUUGCACACGUGCUUAAGUUAAGGUUAGUAUUAAUGGUAAUUAGUAGUGGGCCGCUGGUCGUCUUCAAAAAACUGGUACAAAGGGAAGAUUUAUAGAAGCAGUGUUGAGAUAAAGGCAAUUCAUCUGUUCUUUUUAGAAGGAUAUAAAUGAAGCAAGGUUUAUCUGCUCACCCGUAAUGCGGCUCAGCCCUUCAUCAAAAAGUGAAAUAUCAAAAUUACUUUUACAGCAAGAGCAAUACCAGAAGAUGUAAUCUAAAUUGUUUAUAUUUGGUUCCCUUGAAAUCCUUUUGACUGUUUCAACAUAGUAUAUGUUGGUAUUUAAAAGUUUAGAAACUUAAUACCAAUUAUGUGGGUGAUAGGUUUUCUAACUCUAUCACACCUCUAUCUCUUUUACUCUCUUUGAAAAUGGAUCGAUAGAAAGAAAAAACAGCAAGCUUCUUAAAGAAACAAGUACUUGAUAUAUUAAAAGAGUUUCAACUCUAUUGCUGAAAAUAUGGAAUGGAAUUACAAAGAGCCUUACGGAAAGGCAUUCUUAUACUUGCAAAAAACAAGAGAACCACACAAGUGGUUUUCAUAAACAAAUGCAAACAAAGACUUUCUAGACUUAGCUAGUGGAAAACUAUCCAUGCAAAAUAAAAUAAAGGGGUUCAAAGUCUUUACUUGCAGCAGUUUUAGACUAUUGAACACACACACACACACACUACUUUAUUCUAGUGGUUUACAACCACAUUUCGGCUAGCACAGAAGAGAAGCAUUAAUUUGGGUAAGUGCAGGAAGUAUGAGUCAAAAGAAACAGCUAGCAGCCCACUAACAUUGAAAUAAUGUUUUUAUUUGAACUUCCAACACUCCCCCUCAAAUCAAAACACCUUCAUUCCUAGCAUGUCAUGCAGCAGCCGGAAUGAUUCAAUUGGCAGUGGCUUUGUGAAGAUGUCAGCCACUUGUUCCUUGGUGUGACAAUAGAUAAGCUCAAUUAUCUUUUGCUUCACAUGAUCCCUCAGAAAAUGGAACCUGGUAUCGAUGUGCUUGCUCCUUCCAUGUUGAACAGGAUUCUUUGCAAGCUUGAUUGCAGACAUGUUAUCCACAUGAAUCACAGUAGAUUCCACUUGUGGAUGACAUAAAGAUUUCAACAGAUUUCUUAACCAAAUUGCCUCACACACAGUUAAGGCUGCAGCAACGUACUCGGCUUCACACGAUGACAGAGCAAUAAUUGAUUGCUUCUUUGAAGUCCAUGAGAAAGCUGUUGAUCCUAGAAAAAACACAUAGCCAGUUGUACUUUCCCUUUCAUCUUGGUCACCUCCCCAAUCACUAUCUGAAUAACCAAAUAAUUUUGCAUCUUCACCAAAAUUAUAAAACAGACCAUAGUUUAGAGUGCCUCUUAUGUACCUUAAAAUUCUCUUGGCAGCCAACCAAUGAGACUCAUUUGGUGUUUCCAUGUACCGACUCACGAGUCCAACACCAUAAACUAUAUCUGGUCUUGUGAUUGUAAGGUACCUCAAGCUUCCAACGAGGCUUUUGUACACGGUUGAGUUUACAAGCUCACCUUCUCCUUCCUUGGACAGUUUCAAUCCAGUUGCAACUGGAGUGUUGACAAUAUUGCACUUGUCCAUAUUGAAUUUCUCCAAUAUAUCUCUCAUGUACUUUUGUUGAGAGAUGUAGAUACCGUUACUUUCUUGCUUCACCUCUAUGCCAAGAAAGUAUGACAUUAAUCCAUUGUCAGUCAUCUCGAAUUCACUGAACAUGGAUUGCUUGAACUCACAGAACAUUGCUUCAUUGUUUCCUGUAAACAACAAGUCAUCUACAUAGAGACAAAUAAUUAAGAACUCCCAUUUUUCACCGUUCUUCAUGUAAACUGAAUGCUCGUAUGGACAUUUCUGAAAUCCAUUUUGGUGAAGGUAGUUAUCAAUCCUUGAGUUCCAAGCUCGUGGUGCUUGCUUGAGGCCAUACAAAGCCUUUUUCAAAUGAUACACCUUAUCUUCUUCUCCUUGUACUCGGAAGCCUUCCGGUUGUUUCACGUACACUUCUUCCUCAAGAACUCCAUUAAGGAAGGCUGACUUGACAUCUAGUUGAUAAAUUUUCCAUUUAUGAUGAGUGGCAAGAGAGAUUAGCAAUCUUACCGUGUCAAGUCUUGCAAUUGGAGCAUAGACUUCAUCAUAGUCCACUCCAUACUUCUGUUUGUAGCCCUUUGCUACAAGCCUUGACUUGUAUCAAUCCACACUCCCAUCUGCAGUGCGUUUGAUCUUGUACACCCACUUGACACCAAUAGCCUUCUGAUUUGGUGGGAGCUUUGUCAACUCCCAAGUGUCAUUCUUCUCGAUGGCAUGGAUUUCUUCCUCCAUGGUUAUUCUCCAACGAUCUUCUUCCACAGCUUCAUUGAAUGAGAGAGGCUCGUGGUCUACAUACAAGCAGAAAAAAUUGGUUUCUUCUUCUUCUUCUUGUCCAUAUAUCUCGGUGAGACUUCUUAGCCUCACUGGAGUUGAUGAGCUGCUUUCCUCACUGGAUGUAGGACCACUCCUUGCAAUUCUGUGCACUGGAGUUAUUGUGGUUAUUUGAGCAGGUUGUUGCUAGAUAGGUGGUACAACUUCUGGUUCUUCAAAAUCAGUGGAAACAAUCUUCUCUUUACUGACUUCUUUGUUGUUCCACUUCCAUGCAUCUUCCUCACUGAAGAUGACAUCUCCACUAACCACUAAUUUGCCAGUUAGUGGGUUGUAGAGCUUAUAUGCCUUUGACUCUUCACUAUAGCCCACAAACACACACUUUUCACCUCGAUUAUCAAGCUUCCUCCUCUUGGCUUCUGGAACCUGAGCAUAUGCAACACACCCAAAAACUCUUAGGUGUGCAACAUUCGGCUUGUAUCCACUCCAAGCCUCUUGUGGUGUCAUCCUCUUGACACUCUUUGUUGGACAUCGAUUCAACAAAUAAAUUGAACAAGCUACAGCUUUUGCCCACAAUUCUUUUGGCAAAUUCUUCUCCUUAAGCAUGGACCUUGCCAUGUCAAGGAUGGUUCGAUUCUUUCUUUCGGCUAUUCCAUUUUGCUGUGGGGUAUAGGCAGUAGUCAGUUGAUGCCUAAUUUCUUGCUCCUUGCAAUAUGCUUGGAAAGCAUUGGAGGUGUACUCUCCACCUCUAUUUGAUCUCACAGCCACAAGCUUGUGGUUGCUUUCAGCCUCUGUGAGUGCCUUGAACUCCUUGAAAACUUUUAGGGCAGCUGACUUCUCCUUGAGAAAAUAGACCCAAGUCUUCUUACUGAAAUCAUCAAUGAAGGUAAUAAAAUACCUAUUACCUCCAUAGGACAUAGGAUCUAACGGACCACAUAUAUCCGUAUGUACCAACUGCAGUGGUGCUUUUGCUCUCCAUGCAUCACCAACAGGGAAUGUGAGCCGUGUUUGCUUGCCAAGCACACAACCUUCACAUACUUGGCGUGUGGCUUCAAUCUGGGGUAGACCACGAACCAUUCCUCCACUUGACAGCAACUUUAGGCCAUUGAAAUGAAGAUGGCCAAACCGAAGAUGCCAUUUCCAUGACUUAUCUUCCAUUACACCGAUGUUGCAACUCCCAAUCCUUGUGUUCAACUUCAAUGGGAACAUUCGGUUCUUUGACAUUUGAACACGUGCAAUAAGUUUUCUCCUUGCAUUCCUAAGAGUGAGAAACAUAUCCUCCAUAUGUAUAAUAUACCCUUUCUGGAGCAGUUGACCAACGCUCAGAAUGUUGCUCUUCAUACCUGGUAUGUAGUAGGUAUCGAAGAUGUAUUCUUCUCUACCAUCCUUCUGGAUGAUUUUGAUCUUUCCUUUGCCUUCAACUGGCAACUUUGAGGAGUCACCAAGACUCACAGAUCCAUAAGGCCCAUCUUUGAGUUCGGCAAAAAACUCUUUCUUUCCACACAUAUGGUUGCUUGCACCAGAGUCCAAAUACCAAACAUCUUGUUGGUUACUGGAAUCAUGGUGUGCUAGUAAGACUGUAAAUUCCUCACCAGCAUUUCCACUUGAUUCUGCCAUGUUGACAUGCUCACCAUUUUUAUAUGAACAUUCACCUUUCCCAGACCCUGCGUAAAGCGGGAGCCUUGUGCACUGGGUACGACCUUUUUUUUUUUUUUUAUUCAUUGGCAUAAUGUCCAUAUUGCUUGCAACUGUGACACUGGAUAUGUGCCUUUCCUCGAGUAGAUCUGCAUUCUUGAGACUGAGCUCGAUUUUGUGCAUAGCCUCUACCUCUUCCUCGGGCUCGUCCUCGGCUACAGUUGGAUGAAUUCCCACGACGUGAGUUCCACUGCCCACGACCUCCAUUUGGUUUGUCAAUAUUCAACUUUGACUCCAAAGCUUGCUCUAGCGUUGUGGGGCUUGCAUUCUUCUGAAUGCGUUGCUCGUGAACUAUGAGGGAUCCUAGUAGCUCCUCUGCGCUCAUCGCCUCCAAAUCCUUGGAUUCCUCAAUGGCAGUCACCACAUGCUCAAACUUAGAUGUGAGUCAUGUGAGUGACUGGAGUAUCUUCUCCACAACUCGUACUUCAUCGAGUCUCUCGCUAUUUAUCCUCAUCUGAUUUACUAUCACAAUGAGCCUUGAGUGAUAGUCGGAGAUGCUCUCCCCUUCAUUCAUGUGAGUAGUUUCAAAAUCUGCUCGAAGUGACUGUAACCUCACUUUCUUGACUCGAUCUACUCCUUUGUAGAUUGUACUGAGUGUGUCCCAUACUUGCUUGCUCGUUGUUGCUUCUGCAACCUUCUCAAACGUUGAAUCUUCUAGACCCUGGUAUAGAAGAUACAACGCCUUCUGGUCCUUCUUUCGUAAGUCCUUGAGAGUGUUCCUUUGUUCUGCAGUAUAUGCGGCUUCUUGAUUGGCAGUGGGUACAACAUACCCAUUACUGACAACUUCCCAUAGCUCCUGUGAUCCAAACAAUGCUUUGAAUUGGAUGCACCAUCUUUCAUAAUUUUCUUUCUUCAAUGUGGGAACCUGGAGCUGCACUAAGUUGGACGCCAUAACUGCUGCACUUGCCAGAAUGGUAUUCUGGCUCUGAUACCAAUUGUUGGUAUUCAAAAGUUUACAAACUUAAUACCAAUUAUGUGGGUGAUAGGUUUUCUAACUCUAUCACACCUCUCUCUUUCUUUUACUCUCUUUGAAAAUGGAUUGAUAGAAAGAAAAAACAACAAGCUUCUUAAAGAAACAAGUACUUGAUAUAUUAAAAGAGUUUCAACUCUAUUGCUGAAAAUAUGGAAUGGAAUUACAAAGAGCCUUACGGAAAUGCAUUCUUAUACUUGCAAAAAACAAGAGAACCACACAAGUGGUUUUCAUAAACAAAUGCAAACAAAGACUUUCUAGACUUAGCUAGUGGAAAACUAUCCAUGUAAAAUAAAAUAAAGGGGUUCAAAGUCUUUACUUGCAGCAGUUUUAGACUAUUGAACACACACACACACUACUUUAUUCUAGUGGUUUACAACCACAUUUCGGCUAGCACAGAAGAGAAGCAUUAAUUUGGGUAAGUGCAGGAUGAGUCAAAAGAAACAGCUAGCAGCCCACUAACAUUGAAAUAAUGUUUUUAUUUGAACUUCCAACACUAUAUGCAGAGAGAACCAGAACCAAGUCCAGACUCACUCGUAAUAGGUCUCUCCUCAUCCACAACAAUAUCCCAGCUUUCCCUUGUCGUGGUUUUCCCAUAUUUGUGCACCUUACUGCAAAGAGAGAGCAAGUUAACUUGUCAAAGAAAAACCAGAACAAUAGAUGCCAAUGCAGUUCAGAAAGUUUAUUUCCCUUCAUACCCAUUUCCAAAGUGCUCUUCUCCCCAUGUCCUUGACCAACCUAGACAUGAGAGAACAAAAACAAAGUCACAUCAGAUUAAAUUAUUGAAAGAAAAAGGUUCACUUACAAAUCGACAUUAGAAUCAAGCAACCACGCUAUGAAAUACAAAUUUAAAAUGUAACAAUUUACUGUGUCUGAAAGGAAUCUGUGAAAUAAAAUAGUUAAACCCUAAACAGCACCACUGCAAAUAGCAUAAGAAAAUUAAAAUUAACCCUAAAGAAAUUGGGAGAGAAGAAUAUGAAAAGGGAAUACCUUUCGGCCCUUUGAGUUAUUGGAAAAAACCCAACAGAGCAAAAGAUAAACAAAAAUACAGGAGGAAAGAAAAUAAAUUUUCAACUUGUAAGAUUCAUACACGAACAGAUUGGCGGUCAAAAGCAUUUCGAAACUCAGAGCCAUCAAGCUUUUUGAUCUGCAUGGAAAUUAUUUAUGAAGUUUGAGAUUCUUAUAGAUGCUUUAGACACAUCGACAUAUUGAAAAAGCAAUAUUCAACAACCUAGUACCCAUGCUCCCUAGAAGGGUACAGAAAAUAUGAAUGUCUGGACUCUGGAGUGAGAAAGUAAAAGGACUUGCCGCAUACUUCAUAUCUUCCAAGUUUGUGUAGUCUACAAUCCCUGUUGUGCCUACAAAAAAGGCAUAGGACAAAAGCUAAAUCAAUCGAAAUUCUGAUGUCUCAUGAUCUAGGUCUUAGGAUUAAACUACUGAAAUAACACUACAUGAAAUAGCUGUGUAUAUCCCAAAAAAAGUAUGAAAUCUGGUUGAUAAUUGAAGACUUCGAAGGGAUUUACCUUUGGAUUCUUUGGCUUUCAGAUGGAGUUUGCUUAUGUGUGGGGGAGAGAGGUGGAGCGGCUAGGGCUUGAGUAUGGAAGAGAUGAAAAAUGCAGAGAGCACCUGUUUUCGCUGAAGCAACUCACACACUCUGGACAAAUCUGCAAAUGUCUAAAAGGGGGAAAAUAUAAAAAGAAACCUUAACAACUGAAUUCAAAGAAACAUUAUUACAUUGUAAAUAACAUUUCACAAAAAAAAAAAAAAAAAAAAAAAACUGAACUAAACUAAUUACACUCGGAUUGCAAUGCUAUCAUUUAAUAAUAGGAAUUCCCAUAACUUAGCAGAAGACCUGCAUCUGCAAAGGAUUCUUUAAAACCUAUUUUUUUUGAACAACCCCGCACCUACAACACAUCCAGGCAAGGUAAACCAAUAGCACCCUCAUUCUAAGCUCUUCUGUGCAUAUAUACCCCUUAUAAGUAAUCUUAAUCAAUCAGUUAUCAUGAAUAUAGUCAGUUAUCACGAAUAUACAACUUAUAUUAAUUUUCUACAAUAUCCAACACACAAAUAUAACAGAAGAGGAAACUUUUACUUAAGCAGCACAAAAUGAUAUCCUUUGCAUUUCAUUCCAAAAUCCAUCACUCUUAUGUCUUUGCCUGCACAGUUUUUGCUCCAACAUAGCCCGCCAUGAUGAUAGCACUAUCAAUAAUUAAGACAUAAAGAAAGGCUAUCCUAGCUAGGUAUUAUCAUUGGAGUAAACCAACAACACCAUAAGUAAAGUAGCAGACCAAAUUUUUUCUAGAAUUGAUGUCUUAACAUGUUUAAGUAGCGAAAAGAUUACAACACAUUGGAUGUGUUAACACAUCCAUAAGCUAAUGACUCCCUCUCCGGAUCACUACAUCAUUCUUAAUGUAUUCAACAAUGCAGCAGCAAUUAAAAGUCCUUGGAAAAUGCCAAGCUACUACAAUGACAUAACGAAAAACUAUAUCUCACCUUACCCCCUUGUUGGCAUAGACUGCAUAUCCGCCCUUGUUCGGGGUGAAUCAUAAUCCUGAACUCAAUUAUCAUCAUCGUUGAGAAUGUCAAACUUUAAAUCAACCAUGCAUGGAACAAAACUUAGAAAUUAAACAAUUAUCAAAGCUUAUGAAGAAUGCUAAACCCAACUAAUUCGAAACAUAAAGUAACCCAAAAGAGAGAAAACUUAUAAAUUUUACAUAAAUUAUAAUCCUUAACAGAAGGAUGGAACAAAGCAGGUUCAUUCUUGAGAAUAGAUGUAAUUUUGCACAUUGCAUAUAUGUAGAUUAAGGCUGGUGGUAACAUACCUUGUAAUUUGUACAAAUUAGGAUUUUCAUUCAAAGAACCAUAAUAUACACAAUUACAAAAACAGUGAUUCAAACUUGUUCUUCUCUUAAGGAAAUUACUCACAGUUGAAAUUCUGAAUGGACGAAGUUUUGGCAUCCCUUUCUGACUAUAUUUGAUUAACCUUUUUUUAAUCCAAUGAGUGCCUUCAUGAGAGAGAGAGAGAGAGAGAGAGGAAUAUUAGGUGAAAUGUAUUGCCAAAUCACACAGAGAUCAAAAUCUUGAAUAUAUAUGUUUAACCAUAUCAAAGUGAGUGUGUGAAAGGGUGUAGUCUGCAGAAAGGGCAACAUUUUCACUGCUAGAAAGUUGGAAACUAAACUUUUACACAGAUAUUGGAUUUUAUUAAUUCCCUCCGCGAAUUGAAAAGCAAAUUGUUCGAGUAAUGCAGGUAAAUUCGAUAUACAUAUGCGUUGAUCUAUGUAAGACAGUUAUAAGUUAUAACUGUAUCGUCUUAACACAAAAAUGAUCAUAAAUGUAAGUGUCUGUAUUAUGGAAGUAAGGGACUUACAGCAAUUGCUAUGAGCUAUAACAGCAGUCACUCCAAGUACCCUAUUAUGGAAGUAAGGGACUUAUAUCAAUUGCUAUGAGCUCUACCAGCAGUCUCUCAAAGUGGUGCAACGGCUAAAAUUAUAAAUAAAAAGUAAUUUAAACAAUUUAACUUAAUAAAAUAUUGUAAUUUAAACAAUGCCUAUAUAUUCAAACAUCCCAAAACAGGAAUGAACUUCCAAAAAACAUGCGCAUGAAAAUAAACGGCAUUACUCACCCAUUGAGUUGGACCAUCAAACUGGAGCGUAAGAAGGAUCAUCAUGUACCUAUGAAACCCAAAGGAAACUUUUAGCAACCCCAAAGCUUGUAUGCAAGCGUGAAUAAGUAUGCGUGUAUGAAUCUAUUCAUAGUGAAGAAGGCUACCUUAAGAAAUAUUUGCAUCUGCAGCUUCAUAUGGCCAUACAACAAAAAGCAUCGCAUAUGAUAACAAACCCCAGCUGCACCACAAAAGGAAUAUGAUCUUCCUCUCAACUUGUAUUUGCAGUUGUUACUGUAACAUCUGCAGACAGCAUACAUAAGCACUGAUUCGAAAAUUCUAAAGGAAAAAAAGUCCUUAUUCGAUAAUGCACCAAAUCCUAUCCGAAAACCAAGGGGGUGCCAUAUCCCUAGAUUAACAGAGCAUCUUUCUUUGUUCCAAAACAAAUUGCAAUUGGCUUUGGUAAAGUAGAAAGAUUACCAGAUACCGACUCUGUUCCAUUAUUCGACUGUCCUUUUAGUUCUGUCUCUCAACAUGGGAAAUACAAUAAGACAGUAAAAACAAAAGUUAGUGAUGCUAUUACAUAGUGAAAGAAAAUAAGACAUUCACAUAUUGAUAGCUAUUUACUGUCCUUUCUCAUCAUAAUCUUGGCCCAUAUAUAUAUAUAUAUAUAUUGAAUUUUGAAAGCAAUGAGAGAAAUAUACCUUUGGGGCGUCACUGCCAGAAGGGUGAGUGAGGGAUCUAAGAUGUUUGAGAGCAGAAAUUUUUAAGUAAUUUGUGCGAAAAAGUUGAAGAGCUUCGAACAGAGUGGAGUGGGUUGGCCUGGGCUAAAAUAAAGAGGAUGAACUCUAGAAAGUAGAAAAUGUUGUGUUCAACCAAACUCAAAAGUAAAGAAACCAUACAAUUAACAUAUAAAUAAGUUUUAUAUACCAAUGAUUACAUGUACGUUGUUUGAGAAGGUAAAUUAGCAACAUAUACAGUGAUCAAAAGAUUAACAGCAAUAAACUGCUCAUUAUUCAAAAUAUACAAGAAAGUUGUCAUUCACAUGAUCCAAAUGGUAGAGGACAAAACAGAAGGAAGCAAAUAUUAUAGCAGCAUAAGUUGAAUAAUUGCAGCAAGUAAACAAAUAGAAAGGCUAGCUAGAUUACACAAUCCAGUUCUAGGUCAGACUAACCAUGUUAGCCAUCCGCCCACCACCAUCACCGUCGGCUUCUUAUUAAAAAUGUAGAAUAGAAGACUCAAAAACUGGAAAUGAAAGUAGGUAACAUUGAGUUUUAAUAACCAAAAAGGGACACUGUUUAAGCAGCUCCACAACAGCAAUAAUACUUGGACGAUGAGCUGCAAAAACAGAAAAGAAAACACAAAUUAAACUAAAAAAAUAUAAAAUUUAACACUAAUCCAAGGAUUAAAUAUCAAAUAUAAAGUCAUUAGGAUUGGGACCUUUGCAUUGAGGAAUAUCUACUACAUUAUGAGUUCCCUCCUGAUAAAGCCCAAUCAGGGGGUUUUCCGAUGAGCCAAGAACGGCUAACUUUGCGUGACACCGCCAUCCCCACUAACACCAAACCAAGAUAAUAUCAAGAUCAAAACUAACCAAUACCAGAAAGAUUUUUUUAUUUAAAUUUUAAGAAAAGACCUAAACUUUACGAAAUUAAGGGGGAAAACAAAGUUAAGUAAAGCACCAAUUUGCAACUGUCAAAAGUGAAAUAUGAGACUGCAACUGCCUAGAAGAACUCCGUGGCCUCAUCGACGAUGACCGGAUGGUGGAGAUUGAACUGGUGCGUACACCUGGAGCACCUGAUUAUACACCGAACAUAGAACAAAAUUUAAAUCAAGUCGAACAAUAAUUGUGAGAAAAUAAACUAAAAGGGAUUUGAGCUGAGAGUUACGAUUCGAAGUGCGGCAAUGGAGGGUGCAGGUUAGCGGCGGCAGAGGAGGGGUUGAGCUUGGGCUCAGUGAGAGAGAAGGUAGUGCUAAAGGCACUAUUUGUCAGCCAAUCAUGUAAUAGGCACACCACUUUUCUAUAUAUGACAAAAAUUAGGAGUUCUCCAAACUAAAGCAUGAAAUUAGAUUCACCAGAGAAUUGGAAAUUGCACAUGAAAAAAAUAAUAUACAUCAUGCCAUUUGUGAUUUUGAAAGAAAAAAAGAAUACCUUCUUCAGGUCCGCUUUAGUAGGUGGAGGCUCUUGAUAGAAGAUUGGCAUUGGAGUCGUUUUACAAAUCAGUUUCUUCCUGAACAUCCUAAUGUCAGCUUCUAGAGUUUCCUGUAAAAGAACAGACAACAUUCAUAAUAAGAAAAUCUCUCUCUGCAAUCGUAGAAAUCCCUCGGGUUUCAGGAAGCAAAUGGAAAACGAAAUGCUUUUCUCCCGUAUCUCUCUCUCUCACCUCUGUCCCAUCUCUCUGUCUCCAAAUCGCAGAAAAGAAACCCUAAACAAAUCCCUGAAAUCCCUCGCCUAAAUCCUCCCACAUUUCUCUCGGACACCCCCCUCUUUCUCUCUGCAAACCCUAAACCAAAUCUCCUAAAUCCUAUCUUUGACACCCCACAUACAGCCAAGAUAUUAAAGCAAUCUCUAUAUAAUACUUUGGAACAAUGAAGAAAAAUGGUACUUACUUGUUCCUUGUCCAAAACCGUUGGUGCUGCCGCACAUUGUUAUCAAUUGUGGGUUGAUCAAAUCCUUCAUGGCUUAGACUGCAUGAAGAAUUAGAAACUAAAAGAUGAAUAUAUGCCGUAAAUCAUCAUAUAAAUGUAAGUGCAUUUAAAAAAAAAAAGGGAAUGACAAAAUUGAAUUCUAUUUCAUCAGUAUGUAACUGCAUGAAAAGUUACUUUGAAUGAAGACUCGAUCAAUUUCCCCAAAGUCAUUGUUAACUGAAAAUCAAUAUCAAACCCAUAAAUACCACAUUGAAUUUGACCAAGUUAAAGGAUAAAGGCACUCGCAUCAUCGUAUUACUCUUUGGGAAGAUCUUCUAAUAAUGGUUCUUCCUUUUUCUUGCUCUUCCUUAGAACUGCCAUAAAAACCCCAGAGAAGCAUACAAAUUCAGAAAAGAAAAGGUUCAAAACUGCCAUAAAAAAAAUCUAGAAAGCAUACAAAUUUAUCAGAAAGAAAAGUUCAAAUUACAAAUACCAAAUGAUGUGAGUAAGUAGUGAGAGGUUGUGUUAGGCACCUGAAACACGUUUUGGUUUCAAUUGAAAGGGCCAGAGACAACAUCCACAUUCUUUUUUCUUGGGUGAACUAACCAAAUCAUAUUAUAUACUAAAACGACAUAAAAAAUCAUUCACAAACUCACAACAAAAUAGAACAAAAAGAUUCACAAAAGAUUUGGGAGUUGAGACGCUAACAAAAACAUUUCUUUUCUAAACAAAUACACAACCGCUAAUCUGGGUUUGGUCAGUUUGACUAAAACGGUGCGCUAUUUUGCAUCUAAAUAUAGUAUAUCGCUUAAAUAAAAUUAAUAAAAAAUACACAUCCAAUGCUUUUAGUCUAAAGCUAGAAUUAGGAAUAACUGAGGAAGUUAAUGAAGGCAAAGCAGAGGGUAGGAAGCAGAACAUACCAAGAGACCAGUAGGCCAUCGGGGCCGGUCUGCCGAUGAACGCUGUGUACUGGUUGACAACGCCCAACGGAGUUGGCGCAGAAAAGAAGUAAAAGUCGAAACCACCCUCAAUGACCUUGUAGGUGAGAGAAGUCCCUCUGUAGAACACAUCCAUGCCAUUGCUGUUGAGCAGCAAAACGGAGUGCGCGUAAGCCUCGUUGCCCACAUUCCGGAGAUCCAUGUAAACUGGGUGGGACCCGUACAAAUCAGUGUUGAGAUUGAUCGCUGAGAAGUUAGUGGUGAAGAGGAUGUAUUUAUCGUUCGGGUAGAGCUUGAUCCCGUGCGGCUGAGAGUUCUCUUCGAGGCCGUACAAGGAGGAGUAUUUCGGCACUCGGGUGGAUAUCUUGAGGUCUAGUCCUUAAACACCAGUACUAGUCCAAUAAACCACUCCGCUUUUAUUGAUUUUCAAUUCAUGUUCAUUCGGGUCCCAAACAAGACUGAACGGCCCCAGAGCCGGGUUGUAGGUAUCUACAUAUGAUAUAAGUGCCCACGUGGCCAUCAUUGCGGUUGACACCUAACUUCAUACCCGGUAAAAAUGUGUAUCCAGGAUAAUCACUUCAGCCGAUCGAGGGUGAUUUGAGGUGUUUUCUAGCUGAAUUGGACUUCGACCCAAGUAUGAAAGUUGUUCCUCUUAUCGAGAUCUUCAUUCAUGUAAAAUUUGGGAAUUUUAGAAUUGUUGAAUUCUCCGGCGAGUCAGGGCUACCAGCCGCCACGUGUUUCGGCGCAUGGCCCUUUGGCCGCUGUCCCGUGGCGACUCGUGCGGUGAUGUAUGCAGGAAAACCUAAGGUUCCUCCUUAGGUUUUUCAAUGUACCAAACCCGAAUCCGCCGUCCUUUUUUCAAAAUUCUAACGUUUUCAUAGAGUUUUAUUAAACGACCUUUAAUUGUGUUUAGGUGCAUCGGUGGAGGUGACCUCAUUCUUGAUGGUUCGAGCGGCUUUCGGGCAAUGGAAAACUUGUGAGUGGACCCCUUCUAAACUUAUAUAUUGUUAUAAAAUAUUAGCCUAGCAUGCAUUCCAUAUUUCAUGAUUUGAAUAUGAUUUAUAAUAUGCUUUAUGGACUUUUAUAAUUAUGGUUUACGAAAUAGUUUGAUUUAUCGAAAUUACGUUUUAUUAGGUAUUGAAUUAUUGGAUUUGCAUAUAUGGAUUUCUAUGGUUUUCAAAUACGAUUUAUAUUACGGUUUUACGAACAUGAAUUAUUUUAUGGAUUUCAUGAAUACAAUUUAUCUUGGAUUUAUGAGAUGAGAAUUUGAGCUAGUGAGCUCCGGGUUUGAUAUAAGUUUUGAGAUAUGUUUUUGGUACUUAUCUAGUGGGUUAUCAUACGGCACAUCCGCACACCACGGGUAUAGAAUUGUAUGGCCAUAGGACACAGAUGAUGAGGAGGAGUAAGAUAUGAUAUAUUAUAUACCCCCAGUUCACUGUCGAAAGUAGUGUCAGAUAACUUCACUAGCCAUGGCUAGUGUCGGUAUGGAUGUUAUGCUAUUUCAUACAGCUUCACCUUCGGGUGAUAGACAGGUUAUUUAGCUUCACCUUCGGGGUGAUGGACAUGUACUACCUUCGGCCAACUAUGAUAGCCUUUGUUGAGUACUUCACUGACAAGAUUUACAAAUUUGCCUUCGGGCGACGGCAUUUUCAUUAUCAAGCAUUGGAUUUUACAUAUCUACCUUCUAAAUGGAUUUUCAUGGCAUGCUAGGGUUUUUCAUAAAGCCUAUAUGUAGUAUUAUAUAUGUUUUCAAAACAAGGGGUUAUUAUGUUCAUAAAUAAAAUGUUUUCCUAUUAUUAGUAUUAUUAAUAUAAACUUUGGUCCACUCACAUUUUCAGUUUUUGCGCCUCCACAGGAGUUAGGAUCGAGGCACAUGAUCCCGGCAUCAUGGCAUGUUGAUAUAGGUAUCCUUGAAUCUUCCCAGUGUAGAUAUCAUUCCCUUAUUCAUAUCUUUUUAUAGUGAUUCUUCCCUAUUAUUUCUAAUUAGUUGUAUGCUCUAAACACAUUCCUGCUUUGGUAUAAUCGUUAUAACUACUUAUCUUGUAAUUGUUUGCAUGUUUAAAAUGGUUUCGUCACCCUUGGGCGUGGGCUAGCACGUGCCUACCCUGGUAUGUUGGGAUAUCGGGGUUGGGGCAUGUCAAAGAUAGAGAGUGAAUUUCUAGCAGAUUCAAUGGUUGUCUACAUUUUAAAAAGAGCUUGCCGAAAAGAUUGAUUCAGAUGAAAUAACAAAGGAUUUCAAUUCCAUUAAGGAUUGAAGGGCACAACUUGAAUAGGUAUUUUUCUUUUUAUUUGUUAUGUUGUUAUGACAGGAUUGACGAUGUAUGUUUAUUUAUAUUGUAAGUUGCAACUUUAAAGGUUUUCUUUGUUAAAUCUAGUUGAAACUUGAUUCAUUUAGAGUUAAAUUUCUUACUUCAAAUUGUUGCUUUUAGGCUUAUUAUUGUGUAACUUUAUGCAAGCAACAAAAAAUUUUAACCAUUUGAUUUUGUACUAAUAAUUUUAGCUUAGCAUGCCACCAAAUAAUUCAUGGCUCCGCUAUAGAAAUCUUAGCAUGUGCAAUUUCAAAGUCUCGGUUGCCAAGUCUCCCCAGGCUGUUCAGCACCCAUUCUGAAUCUUGAUCGAGAUCUAGAGCAGUGCAAGUCAAGGAGUCUUCAUUCUCAUUUGAAACAAUGCUAAAAUUAUACCUCAGCUUGGACUCCUUGGGCAAAAUAUACCCAAAUGUAUUAGUACUACUUGUGGAUACACCACUAGUCCAAAAAAAUCACCUCUCCUUUCUUAAUCUUCAAUUGGUGAGGGUCCCAAUCAAGCGUGAAAGGCCCCGGCGCACGGUUGGCUUUAGUUUCCCAUGAUGAAAUCGACGAAACAUGGCCGUUUGUACGGUUGACACCCAAUUUCAUGCCCGGUAAAAAGGUGUCAACUGGUAAUCAAAGCUUUACGUUCACUUCUUCUUGUACAAAAUUUCCCGAAUCCAAAAGGAUAGCCACAACAGUAGCAAUACUGUACUUAUGUUGGUAGACCUAGUAGUUUGUGGAGCUGAGAAAAACGCAAUUGGAUUAGGAUCCCCCCCGCAUAAUUUUCAAGGUUUUAUUCCUGUCCAAGGCAAGAGUGCGUACAAAAUAGGGGCUUUACGGUUGCAAAUCCAAGCAAUGUUGCCAUCGGCCUUGUUGCUCUGGAUAGAUACGUAGCUGGUGCUUUUGGAACUGUCGUCGUGUACACAGGAACUGAAACUGAACUUCUCCGAUGCAGAGACCAAAGAACUUGAGGAGUUGAGAGUGUCUCCUGCUGGUUUCAGUGUGUCCCUUGCACUUGCAGCAUUGUGACAGGUCCACAGUCAGCAUGCAAAAAUGAUUAAGUUGAUUAUUGCCAUGAUUAAUUAAUGACCAUAACAUGAAGUUUAAUUUCUCCAUAUGAUGAGGAAGAAAGACAUGAAAUCCAUCACCAGAACAUGAUUAAGAAUUUAAUCAAGCAACGCGUCUUAGUUAAACCGUUACAAUCUUUGUACAAGGCAUUUAUAAAUUAAAAAAAAAGGGAAUAAAGUAAUAAUUACAAGUUUUACACAAGUGACCAUUUAUUACAAUGGUGGAAAGGUGUUAAGCUUUUGCAUGACGGUGUGAGUUCGAACCUCGUCGGUAGUUAAUCUAACUUAUAAUCUAAUAAAAUCUAUUUUUUGACCAAAAAAAAAUAAUUACAAGUUUUACUAAAAAUUUAGGGGUGUGAUAUCCACACACCCCUUUUUACUUCUCUCACACAUUUUUGAUUUCGACCGUCAAAUCGGAUGAGUUGAAGAAGAUCAACGGACAGAAAUUAACAAGGGAUGUGUGAGAAGUAAAAAGGGGUGUGUGGAUAGCACACCCCAAAAUUUACCGGAAGACUUGAUCACCCAUUUGUAUGCUGACAACGGUGACUAGAUUCACAACCUCUUUCCCACGUAAAUCACAUCAUCCAAUUUUAUUUUUCUUACAACAUAUCACGCAUCUGUCAUAUGCAAGACUUUUUUUUUUGUAUAACAUGAAAAAGAAGACUUUUUUGGAAUAUGGAGAGUGAAAUUGCAGCGGAAGCAUCCUAGAUUUUUGAUCGAAUAUUGAGUUUGGUUUGAUGACAGACUUCCUGGAUCAAACACACCCUAAAAAAUAUAUAUAAAAAACCAAUAAGGUCAUGUGAUACGACAUCAUUUCAAGAGGAAAGGUAAAAACAAUCUAGUUUCUAUACUAGGAAGAUUCACUCGAACAAAUUCUUGGAAACUAUGACUCAAACAAAAUUCUAGGAAUUCAGUAUUUUUAACAAAUGAUAAGCGUUUAAGAUAUAUUCUUUAUAAUAUUAGAGAAAUCGAACGGUUGAUGUAUAACUCGCAAAGUGGUUGUAGCUCAAGUAAUUUUACUCCCCAAUUUUACAUAAAACAUAAAAUAAAAACAAAUCCUAAUUUACAUGGUAAUUUUUUUUCAUAGCUAGGGACAACUUCGACUAUGGUAAUGCAAUUAAUAUACACUAGUUUUGGAUGGAGAAGUUUCAAGAUUGAGUAUGGGAUGGGGAGGGGCGAGAGACUUGGAUGGAGAGGUGAGGUUUUAUGAGUUAAACAGUGAUGCAAGGAUGUAUUACUUAAAACUUUAGAGACCGUAUGUUGGGCUAUAUAUAAUAUACGUUCCAUGGAUAAUUGUUUAACUCAUAAACGUUUUGAGUGUUUCUAACAUAUGCUUAUCAAAAGCCUUCUCGUUCCAUCAAACAAUACGAAAAUUUUCAAUUGAAUGAAAGACAUACUAUUUUAUAUAUCACAGUACUUCAUGGAUCAUCAUCAUCACAUAUCCUUAAUUCAAAGGUAAUAAAUGAGCAUCUAGUUUUAUUUUAAUUUUAUUUUAUAUAGGGACUACAGAAGCAAGCACCCUCUGUAAAUUAAACUCUAAAACUUCUCAAGUAUCUUGAAAGGUGCCAAAAGCCAUCAGCCAACUCCAGUUGAUGCAUAACCUCCUACAUUUACAAAAACAGCGUCGCCGUUAAUUUAUUGACUUCUUCCCAGGACACAUACCAAUUUGCGAAAGUGGUUUGACUGAUGCUAAUUAGUCGAGUAAAGUACAGUCUUUUCAAUUAAGCAGAUGCAAAACACUUAGUUGAGGCACUACAAAUAUGAUUUUUACCUUUAAUUAACGCGCUUCAAAAUCUGAACUGGACAUGUAGUUUGCUGAAGCAACAGUUUCAAGUUGCUGAUUCCCACUUAUACCAGCCUCCACCGUCCUCCUUCCAACAAAAAAUGCUGGCUUUGUUGGUGAUGCUAAUCGAAAGCUUUCAUUUGUCAACAUAGAUAUGACAUCUGACAUGGUAGGGCGAUCUGCUGCAUUUUCUUCUACGCAAAGCAGACCGACAUGGAUGCAUCUUAACAGUUGCUCUUUAAUAAACGAAUUUCCUAAUGUUGGAUCCGUUAAUUCUAGCCCUGCACCUUUUUUCCAUAACUCCCAUGCCUGAAGAACAAGGAUUGCAUUUCAUUCUAAAGAAGAAAAAUAUGAUUAUAAAUUUUAAGAGAGAGAUUUGUUUGUCAUACAUAUCCUACUAAAUUGAGUGCGCGAUCGUCAUUGUAAAAGCUGUUGUUUUUCCUUCCACUUAUGAUUUCAAGCAUCAAUACCCCGAAACUGUAGACAUCAGACUUUACAGAAAUAAUUCCCCCCACGGACUCUGGAGGCAUGUAACCACUGCACGAAAUGAAAAAGAAAAUUAGUCAGUAUACUUAUCUGGAAAAAUGCGUGUUUAGCAGUCAAAAGGGGAGGACCACGUCAAUGUGAUGCAGAAAUACUUACAGUGUCCCCACAACCUUUCUAGUGUUUGCUUCCAAUUCAUUUUGGGUGAAAAUCCUUGCCAUACCAAAAUCUGAAAUUUUUGGGUUCAUGUUUUCAUCAAGUAGUAUGUUACUAGCUUUUACAUCUCUAUGAAUUACUUUCUUUCUUGAGUAUUUGUGCAGAUAAAGCAACCCUUGAGCAAUUCCUUCGAGAAUGCUAAAACGCUUCUUCCAAUCUAGUAGUAGACCUCUGAUUGGAUCUGUCCAAUAUGUAGAGUUAAGUAGGACUAAUAUUAAUUAAUAGUAGUACUCUAUGAACUUUGACAGUAAAAUAAAAAUCAGAUAGUAAAUUUAACAAAUGAAAUCAAGUAUCUUGGUUCCUCACCAAAUAAAAAGUGGUCCAAACUUUUGUUCUGCAGAUACUCAUAUAUCAACAUCAUUUCUUCACCAUGAAUGCAAAAUCCGAAAAGGUGAACCAGGUUUGUAUGUUUGAGUUCAUAUAUAAGUAUCAGUUCAUUCUUGAAUUCUGAUGUUCCUUGCCCUGAACAUUUCGAAAGCCUCUUCACAGCUAUUUCUUGUCCCGUCGCCAAUUUCCCCUGAAUUGAUAAUCCAUAUCAUGUUUUUGCUGUCAUCUUUAGGCAAAUGAAGCUAAUUCCAUUUUUUUUCUUACAGCUUUUGAAUUAGAAGCAGAAAUAUUUUUUUUUCAAAAUGUUACCUUAUAAACCGGUCCAAACCCUCCUUGUCCUAGCUUGUUUUCUUCAGCGAAGUUUCUUGUGGCAGCCACGAUGGAUGAAUAGCUAAAAACGCUAAAAUCAUGAUGUCGCUUAGAUUUCAUGAAGAUAAGCAUUUCGUUCUCAAUCUCUGGCCAGUUCUCACCUAUACAGAUCAAUUAUAAGAAAUUAAAGUUUCAAUGGAGACAACAAUUGUCAAAGAUGUGAUUAAUAAUCCUGUCUUACUGGUGCACAUGAUUUAAAGAAAUAUACCAGCUGAUGCAAGGGCUGAUCUUCUUCGUCGGAGUAGAUAGUACGCGGUGCAAAGCACUAGAGCAGCAGCUAUAGAAAUGCCAAUCCAAACCCAUUUAUCUGCUGCAUCAUAAACAAUUAGCUAGCAACAUAUGCAAUAAGUGUAACACACACGCACAUGUACGCAUUAAUUGUCUUCAAUUUUUGGAUGAACUAGGUCUUGCAGGUUUCUUCCGGAAAACGAAGAAAAAUUCGAGACAGAGAGCAGAACUUAAGACAACAAUAACAAAGAUAGAGGUACCUAAUAAUACUGAUUCCACGCGUGUCACAGAUUUCCGGCUCAAAUCGGGUUUGCAGCCUCGGUAUAUAUCCUUCGGAUCAAGAAAAGAAAACCCUUUUGGGCAUUCGCAGGUUGGCCUUUUAUCUGGUUUGAGCAUACAGGUACUGUUGUAACCGCAAACACCAACGCCCAGUCGUAGGCAAAUAUCAUCCGGCAUAUACACCAGAGGACUAAUCCAACUUGCAUUUCCCGUGAAGUUUUUCGGGUGAGAAUAUAAAGCGAAAAUCCCAUCAAAAUCAAGAGUUGCCCUUAUGUAGUUGUCCCUCACCGACACUCCCUCUGUCCCCUUAAGAGGAACUCUUCCAUCAUUUUCUCUUAGAACAAACAUGUCCCCUGAGCUGCUGAACACCAAUCGUUUGCCUUGACUACCUGGCACGUUCCCUGAGGUGGUCUUCGUGGAGAAGUAAGGGAUGUUGGCAUUAUCUGUUGUGACGGAAAUGAGCACGAGGUUUCCAUCACCUUGCAAGCUCAGCUGGAACCGCCCUUUUGUGUAGUUAGUCUCCGAUUGUCUACACGAAAGCGUCCCGUUUCUCUCAAUUGUCUGUCCAGGCAAAACGGUGUCUGUAGGACUGCUGAAGGUCUCCCACAAGCUCCCCGAGUUUUGGUGUUGAAGGACAAAGUUUCCGGUGUCAUUCAUGACCCCGUUCGCAACAGUCCCCAAGGUUAUUUCGGAUUUCCAUAUCUCUCCACCCUGAGGAUUGUUAAGAACUAGUCCACUGUUGGCAGUCAAGUUCAGAACUGAUCCCCCAGGUGCAACCAUGGGGUUGUUACCGUCAUAUGCAUACCAAACUACGGUUUUGUCUGGGAUUUUCGCAUACCAUAUCGAAAGCAAGAAACGAUCAUUGUUUCCGAGGGGCGAAAAUCCAAACGCGAAAUCACCGGAUGGAGAAAGCCAUGAU